rnacentral:lncRNA from 1 species
GACUAUAUAAACCAUUGCAAGAAUCAGAGCUAUAAAAAUGAGCUACAACAUACUCCGUAUCUAAGUACUCAUAUUGCCCUUCUAGCUACAUUGAGAUAAUGUAAAGAGUAGCUAAUUUGCACUAGUGCAGAAGUCGAAAGGAUACCAAUCUGUGGGAUUGAGAGCCAUUACGAUUGCCAGUCCUAGUAACAAUGACAAGAUUCGUUGCUUCAUGUGGAAAGACCACACUUCUAGUGGAAACCAGGGUGUAGGUGGGUUGGCUGGACGAGCUUUGGUUGAACUGAUCUUCGCGGACCCUGCACCUCGGCGUGGCUGUGCAAGAGGAGGAACCCAGUGACGGCUUUAAACUACGCUAGGCCAUCUCCCAUGGCUCACCAGUCAUCUCAAGCCACCGUCGCCUGUUGUCCUUGCCUUGGCCUUGUCCCAGGAGGAAGAAUACUGACGCAGACUGCACACACAUGUAGGAAGAACACACAGAGUCUAGUGCACACGCACUUGUGCUUUCCUCUUGUUCUCUCUUGACCAGAAUAAACAACAUGAUUACAGAGCUUGCCAUGACCGUUGCCACUGGGUACGGAAACGCUACAAGAAAUGGUUCAAGGUUCCAUUAGUCAUGCCAAAAUUUAUCGGCAGUCGGUUGAUCGGCGAUGACGAGAUUAUCGGUACAUCCGCAAGCGGCUAUCAUUAGCCGUCUAUAAACAAGAAAACGAUCAUUUUCUUCAACUUUGAUUAGUUGUCAAGUGAUGCAUGCAUUUUUUCUUGUAGUUGUGAGUAUAUGAUGAUUUUCUUUCUAAUUUUGGAUAGUUAAAAAAGAAUCACUGCUCGACAAUCGAUGUUGGUUUGUCUUCCCAGGACUGCAGCUUAAGCUCUACCUGGUCAGCACUUUACUGACCGACAUUGUCCCACUAUUAGGUGAUGCUAUUGAUAGUAGUUCGCGAAAGAUUUGGACCCCACUAUUAGGUGAUGCUAUUGAUAGUACUUCGCGAUAGAUUUGGACCUUGCCAUUCUUAAUGAGCUGACACCUUGUAACUUAUCUGAUCAGCGCGCAUGCUACAGCUUGCCAACAACAUGUAUGUUAGCAGUCGGUCAGGGACGUUCAGUGCUAGCUUUGUACGUGCAUGCAUGAGACAUCCAUCUUGCCUUCGUCUCCAUUGUUGCGUGUCGCGGGAAGCCAGUCAGCGUGUGGUACUGGGCCAAUAUGCGCUAGCUAGGGUUGAGAUUGCCAAGGGUUGGGUUCGACAUAUUUCUUCGAUUUCGACAUAAGCAAGUCGUCUCGUCCGGGCCGUACCAACUUGGCUUCUGACCUCGUGUGCACCUUACUUGCCUCUAGCUACGCAAGUCAAGCAUGGCCUACAGCUCGAGGUCAAGAUAGCAAUACGACCAUGAACUAUGCAUGCAUGACACAAAGUAGUAUACCAUUUAAUAUAAUACGGUAUCAUAAUAUGAUACCACAUCCUCUAUUUUGUCAUUUAAUGAUAUGCCACAUCAUCAAAUAAAUCUAAUUGACAUGCAUGAUACUGCUUAUGAUAUUCCCAUUAUGAACCAGCCUAACGAGGAGUACCAUAUAUAUACUUGUAUCACGCAUAUGAUAUUAGUGUAUUAUACUACAGCCAUAGUGUAUGCUAUCAUAUAUGAGUAUCAUAUGAUAGUUUAUUUAUUGUUAUGCAUGAUCCAUAAUAGACAUCAUCUAAUAUGAUAUUGUAUUAUGAUAUUGAUACCCGAACCUUUCUUUUUUUACUUAAUUUUAUACCACCUUACAAAACAAAUAUAGUUGGCAUGCGUGAUACUAUCUAUGAUACUCCCAUUACGAACAACCUAAGCCAAUACUACUACAUAGUGCUUAAUCAACUAGUCUAUAAAUGUGGUGCCUCAGGCCGCCCCUCGCCUGAUCUAUCAUCUAUCUAGCCCAACAAAUACCAUUUGCUCUCAUCUCAUGGCCGCGCACGCAUUCAAGGUCUCCGUCAUCGUCGUUCUGAUUGCCAUCUGCGUUGUCGUGUUGGCCCCUACCAUGGCGGAAGCGGGGUGCACCGAGCACCGCGGUUGCGAGCCCAGCCUGGCUCCAAAACGAGUGAUGUGCACCGACAUGUGAGGCGCCCUGCAUCGUGUGAGAGAGACUCCCGCCUCUAGGAGGAGGCUUGCUUCUUCGACUACAUCGAGUCUGCCGAGGACUGCAAUGAUAGAUGCAGAGCGGGCGGCGACGACUGAGGGUCUUGUUAGUUCGCUAGCCGGGAAGCCUACCUGAGUGCUAGUGCUGCUGGCUACGCCUAUAGGGAUUUCCUUGGCAAAUAUGCAAAGGAUUCCCCCGCGGCCUUGGAGCCUUGCGUUGGUGUUCCCUUGAAGAGGAAAGGGUGAUGUAGCACAGCGGCGGUAAGUAUUUCCCUCAGUUUGAGGAACCAAGGUAUCAAUCCAGUAGGAGGAUCGCGUCAAGUCACAAGUACCUGCACAAACACAAAGAGCUUGCACCCAACGCUAUGAAGGGGUUUUCAAUCCCUUAUAGAUUGUUUGCAAAGUGAGAACUGAAAGCAAAAAGUAAACAAAGAAAAGUAAAAGUAAAAGCGGAGAUGAUAGUUGUGAAUAGACCCAGGGGCCGUAGUGUUCGCUAGUGGCUUCUCUCAUGAAAGCAAGUAGAUGGUGGGUGAACGAAUUACUGUCGAGCAAUUGAUAGAACCGCGCAAAUUCAUGGCGUUAUCUAUAGAAACGAUCAUACAUAUAGGCAUCACGUCCAAAUCAAGUAGACCGAUACUUNNNNNNNNNNNNNNNNNNNNNNNNNNNNNNNNNNNNNNNNNNNNNNNNNNNNNNNNNNNNNNNNNNNNNNNNNNNNNNNNNNNNNNNNNNNNNNNNNNNNNNNNNNNNNNNNNNNNNNNNNNNNNNNNNNNNNNNNNNNNNNNNNNNNNNNNNNNNNNNNNNNNNNNNNNNNNNNNNNNNNNNNNNNNNNNNNNNUAUUGAGUUCAUAAGAAUAGAGUAACGCCUUAAGCAAGAUGACAUGAUGUAGAUGGACAAUCUCAAAUCUAUGAUGAAAGCCCAUCUUGUUACUUGCGUGCCUUGUUGCCCCUUCCGUCACUGGGAAAGGUCACCGCACGGUAUGAACCCAAAACCAAGCACUUCUCCCAUUGCAAGAAUCAUAGAUCUAGUUGGCCAAACAAAACCCAAGACUCGGAGAGACUUACAAGGAUAUCAAAUCAUGCAUAUAAGAAAUCAGCAAAGACUCAAAUAUAAUUCAUAGAUAAUCUGAUCACAAAUCCACAAUUCAUCGGAUCUCGACAAACACACCGCCAAAGAGGAUUACAUCGGAUAGAUCUCCAUGAAGAUCAUGAGAACUUUGUAUUGAAGAUCCAAGAGAGAGAAGAAGCCAUCUAGCUACUAACUACGGACCCGUAGGUCUGAAGUAGACUACUCCCGAGUCAUUGGAGAGGCAAUGAUGUUGAUGUAGAAGCCCUCCAGCUCCAAAGUCCCCUCCGGCAGGGCACCGGGAAGGGUCUCCAGAUGAGAUCUCGCGGAAACGGAAGCUUGCGGCGGCAGAAAAGUGGUUUCGUGGACGCCCUGAUUUUUUCUGGGAUUUUAGGGAAUAUAUAGGCCAAAGAGCUAGGACACGGGAGCUCCAGGGAGGCCAGAAGCCUAGUGGCUGCGGGCCCCCCUGGCCACGGCUACAGGGCUUGUGGGCUCCCUGUGGGCCUCCUGCCUUGGCCCUCAAGUCCCCCGAUCUUCUUCUGUUCUGGAAAAAUUUAUUUCGGGGAUUUUAUUCCGUUUGGACUCCGUUCCAAAAUCAGAUCUGAAAAGAGUCAAAAACACGGAAAAACAGGAACUGGCACUUGGCACUGAAUUAAUAAGUUAGUCCAAAAAAAGAUAUAAAAGGUAUAUAAAACAUCCAAAGUGGACAAGAUAACAUCAUGAAACCAUCAAAAAUUAUAGAUACGUUUGAGACGUAUCAAGCAUCCCCAAGCUUAACUCGUGCUCGUCCUCGAGUAGGGAAGUGAUAAAGAAUGAAUUUUUGAUGCUUUCAUGCUACCUAGCAUAGAUGUCCUUUGUAACUCCUCUUAUGAGACAUGAAUGUUCAGAUCCGUUAGAUUCAAAACAAUAGUUUGCUAUUGACGUGGAGACAAUAGUACUUCAAGCGAACUAACAAGGUAAUCAUGAACUUUCAAAAUAACAAGGCCAAAAGAAAGUUAUCCCUACAAAAUCAUAUAGUGUGGCUAUGCUCUAUCAUCCUUGCACAACGAAUUUAAAUCAUGCACAACCUCGGUAUUGGCCAAGUAAUUGUUUUCACACCUUUACUUUCUAAAACUUUUUCAACUCUCACGCAAUACAUGAGCGUGGGCCAUGGUUUUAGCACUAUAAGUGGAAUGGAGUGUGGUGGAGGUUGCAAGGCAAACAAGGAGAAUAUGGUCACAUAGACUAGGCAUAUCAAUGAGCUACAGAGAUGCUCAUCAAUAGAUAUCAAUGUGAAUGAGUAGGGAUUGCCAUACAAAUGAUGCACUAGAGCUAAGAGUAUGUGAAAGCUCUUAAAGAAAACUAGUGGGUGUGCAUCCAACUUGCUUGCUCACGAAGACCUAAGGCAAUUUUGAGGAAGCCCAUCAUUCUAAUAUACAAGCCAAGUUAUAAAAUGAAAAUUUCCCACUAGUUAUAUGGUGGUGACAAAACGAGAGACUCUCAAUCAUGAAGAUCAUGGUGCUUAAUAUGAAGCACAAGUGUGGAAAGGAGAUAGUAGCAUUGUCCCUUCUCUCUUUUUCUCUCAUUUUUUUGGUGGGCUCUUUGGCCUCUUUUAUUAUUUUUGUGGGCAUCUUUGGCCUCUUUUUGUAAAUGGGCUUCGCUGGCCUCUUUUAUUUCCUCACAUGGGACAAUGCUCCAUCAAUGAUGAUCAUCACACUUACAACUCAAAACUUAGAGCAAUGAUGACUCUAUAUGGAAUGCCUUCGGUAGUGUACUGUGACAAUGAUCUAGCAUGGCAUAGACAUCAAUGGAAACACCAUGCGAGCUAUCUUAUGAUCAUGCAAUGGCAAUAUAGAAGCUAUGGCACAUGUCAUCAUGGUAGUUGCAUGGCAAUAUAUCUUGGAAUGGCUUUCAAAAAGCCAUAGUAGGUAGGUAAGGUGGCUGUUUUGAGGGAGGCUAAAGGUGGUUUUAUGCACCGGCGAAAGUUGCACGACACUAAAGAAGAUAGUGAUGGUGGAAGGUGAAAGUGCAUCUAAACCAUGGACUCAACAUUAGUCAUGAAGAACUCAUAUACUUGUUGCAAAAGUUUUAGUAGUAAUCGAAACAAAGCAUUCAACGUAUACUCCUAGGGGAAGGGUUGGUAGGUAUAAACCAUCGCGCGAUCCCGACCGCUACAGAAAGGAUGACAAUCAAUAAAAUAAUCAUGCUCAGACUUCAUCACAUAGCGGUUCACCAUACGUGCAUGUUACGGGAAUCACUAACUUCAACACAAGAAUUUCUAGAUCCACGACACCUUACUAGUAUAACUUCAAUAUUACCACAACCACAACUCAAAACUAAUUGAGUUGAAUCAAACUUCUCUAACUACUCAAUGCACAUGAAGGUGGAAGUUUUCAUAUCCCUUUGGAUAACUAACCCUUUUGCGACUAUUUUCAUAACAUAGAUCAACUACCACGCCACACACUGCGUGCUCCAAAAGAUAGAAGUGAAGCACAAAGAGCAAAAUCAACUAGCUCAAAAGAUAUAAGUGAAACACAUGUGAGCUGAAUUGCCUAACAUAAGGAUAUAAGUGAAGCUUGACAAAAUCAUGGUGAGUGCAUGUCUCUCGCUCUAGGUGUGCAGCAAGGAAGAUUGUGACACAACAAAAAUAAAAGACUCCUACGAUACAAGAAGCUCCAAGAAAAACACAUAACAUGUGGUGAAUAAAAAUAUAGCCCCAAGUAACGUUACCGAUGGAUUGAAGACGAAAGAGGGGAUGCCUUCCCGGGGCAUCCCCAAGCUUAGGAUUUUUCGGCAUCCUUGAAUCAACUUGGGGUGCCUUGGUCAUCUCCAAGCUUGAGCUCUUGCCACUCUUUAUCUCUUUGUCCAUAAGAACUUCACCCAAUACUUGAAAACUUUACAACACGAAACUUAAACAGAAACUCGUGAUAACAUUAGUACAAGAAAGCAAACGACCACUUCCUUAGGUACUGUAGCAAACUUAAAUUCUACUUAUGUUGAUGUUGGGUUACUAUAUUUUCAAUCUUCCAUGGCUAAUACCCCACGAUACUAUCCAUAGUUUCAUCAAAAUAAGCAACCAACUCAACAAAAACAGAAUCUGUUAACAGCAGACCAGUCUGUAGCAAUCUGUAUACUUCGUAUACUUAUGGUACUUCAACAAUUUGGUAAAAUUACGACAGUCUGAAGAAUUUGCGUAGCAAUCAGUAGCAAAAAUAAACAACUCAAAAGCUCUCACAUAAAAAAAAUGAAAAUUCUUCUCGUGAGCAGAAAGUUUUUGUCUUUUCCAGCAUGACCAAACGAUCAUCCCCAAGACUAAUCAUCACGGUUUCACUUGGCACAAACGCAAAAAGAAACACAAAAAACACAAUCAUAACAGAAUUGUGAAAGUGUGGAAAACACAAAACAGAAAGAAAAAGGACAAAUUCGUUGGGUUGCCUCCCAACAAGCGCUAUUGUUUAACGCCCUUAGCUAGGCAUAAGGUGAUGGAAUCACGUAUAGUCAUCUUUGGUGCUCAAACCAUAAGUAGCCCUCAUCAUAGAUUCAUUAGGAAAUCUUAUUUUCUUUCUAGGAAAAUGCUCCAUGCCCUUCAUUAGAGGGAAUUGAAAUCUAAUAUUCCCUUCCUUCAUAUCGAUGAUAGCACCAAUAGUCCUUAGGAAAGGUCUACCAAGAAUAAUGGGACAUGAAGGAUUGCAAUCUAUGUCAAGUACAAUGAAAUCCAUGGGUACAGAGUUCUUAUUUGCAACAAUAAGAACAUCAUUGAUCCUUCCCAUGGGUUUCUUGAUAGUAGAAUCCGCAAGAUGCAAAUUAAGAGAACACUCUUCAAUCUCAUGAAAACUAAGAAUAUCACAUAAAGACUUUGGAAUCACGGAAACACUAGCACCCAAAUCACACAAAGCAUUGCAUUCAUAGUUUUUGAUUUUGAUUUUGAUAGUAGGUUCCCACUCAUCAUGAAGUUUUCUAGGUAUAGAGACUUCUAAUUCGAGUUUCUCUUCAAGAGAUUUCAUCAUAGCAUCUACGAUAUGAGCGGUAAAGGCUUUGCUUUGGCUAUAAACAUGUGGAGAGUUUGCAAUGGAUUGCAUCAAGGAAAUGCAUUCAAACAAGGAGAAACUAUCAUAAUUGAGUCCCUUGAAAUCCAAAGUGGGAAUUUCAUUACUACCCAAUAUUUUGAUUUCUUCUACUCCACUCUCCACACCCUUAUCAUCAAGAUAGGUGGACUCCGAAUCAUUGGGGCGUUUUUCAACCAAAGUGAAUUCAUAUCCAGCCCCUUCAUCAAUAGGUUUGACACGCGAAAACAAAGAUUCAAGAGGAGUCACACCAAGCACUUUAAGAUCUUCGUGAUUUGCAUCACUAGAACGCACCCUUUUAAACCAUUCAUGCCUAGCCCGAAUUUGGGCGGUUCUUUCUUUGCUCUCAUUCAUGGAGACGCGCAUAGCUUUUAAAGUUUCAUCCAAGUUGACCUUGGGAGGAGCACAUCUAACUUCCAAAGCAUCAAUAUCACAAGACAUCCUAUCAACGCUCUUAGCCAAAUCGUCUAUUUUUAGUAGUUUUUCCUCUAUGGACGCAUUGAAAAUCUUUUGAGAGUUGAUGAACCCUUUGAUAUUACUCUCUAAAUCAGAGGGUAAUUUGUUAUGAUUUCCAUAAGUGUUGUUGUAGGAAUUGCCAUAAUAGUUAGAGGAGUUACUAGGAAAAGGCCUAGGAACAUAUUUUCCUCUAAAAGCAUUGUUGUUGCCAAAAUUGUUCCUACGAACAAAAUUAACGUCCAAACUAGCGUUGCUAAUCUCAAUCAAGGAAGAUAGUGGCAUGUCAUUAGGAUGUAAAGGAGCAAUUCUACUAUCAACCAAAUUCAUCAACUCGUCCAUCUUAGCACUAAGCGAGUUAAUUUCUUCUAUAGCAUGUACCUUUUUGCUAGCACGUGACCUUUGAGUGUGCCACAGAGAGUAGUUGGUCAUGAUAUUGUCUAGGAGUUUUGUAGCUUCUCCUAACAUGAUUUCCAUGAACGUUCCACCUGAGGCGGAGUCCAAGAUAUUGCGAGAAGAAAAAUUCAAACCAGCGUAAAAGAUUUGUAUAAUCAUCCACAAACUCAAGGCAUAAGCGGGACAAUUUCUAAUCAUUAACUUCAUCCUCUCCCAAGAUUGUGCAACGUGUUCAUGAUCAAGUUGCUUGAAAUUCAUGAUAUCGUUACGGAGAGAGAUAAUCUUAGCCGACGGAAAAUACUUGGAUAUGUAAGCAUCUUUGCACUUAUUCCAAGAAUCGAUACUAUUUUUAGGCAAAGAAGAGAACCAAGUUUUUGCACGAUCUCGCAUAGAGAACGGAAAAACCUUCAAUUUAACAACAUCAUUAUCGACAUCUUUCUUGUUUUGCAUAUCGCAAAGUUCAAUGAAAGUAUUAAGAUGGGAUGCGGCAUCUUCACUAGGAAGGCCAGAAAAUUGCUCUUUCAUAACAAGAUUUAGCAAGGCAGCAUUGAUUUCAUAUGAUUCCGCACUAGUGGCGAGAGAAAUCGGAGUACUAAUAAAAUCAUUAUUAUUAGUAUUCGAGAAGUCACAAAGUUUGGUUUUUUCAGCCAUGAUGACUUCAACAAACAAACAAGAACACAAGCAAGCAAGAAAACUGGCAAAGGAAAACGGCAAAAGGCAAAUGAAAACGACAAAGGAGAAAGGCAAAUGAAAAGGGCAAAUGUGAAGUGGGGGAGAGGAAAACGAGAGGCAACUAGAAAAAAAGGUAAAUGCAAGAGAUGAGUUUGUGACACUUACUUGGAUAGAUCUUGACUUGAUCUCUCCUCCCUGGCAAUGGCGCCAGAAAUCCUUCUGCUGCUGGCUACGUCAAUAGGGAUUUCCUUGGCAAAUAUGCAAUGGAUUCCCCCGCGUCCUUGGAGCCUUGCAUUGGUGUUCCCUUGAAGAGGAAAGGGUGAUGUAGCACAGCGGCGGUAAGUAUUUCCCUCAGUUUGAGAACCAAGGUAUCAAUCCAGUAGGAGGAUCGCGUCAAGUCACAAGUACCUGCACAAACACAAAGAGCUUUCACCCAACGCUAUGAAGGGGUUGUCAAUCCCUUAUAGAUUGUUUGCAAAGUGAGAACUGAAAGCAAACAAGUAAACAAAGCAAAGUAAAAGUAAAAGCGGAGAUGAUAGUUGUGAAUAGACCCGGGGGCCAUAGUGUUCACUAGUGGCUUCUCUCAUGAAAGCAAGUAGAUGGUGGGUGAACGAAUUACUGUCGAGCAAUUGAUAGAACCGCACAAAGUCAUGACGUUAUCUAUGGCAAUGAUCAUACAUAUAGGCAUCACGUCCAAAACAAGUAGACCGAUACUNNNNNNNNNNNNNNNNNNNNNNNNNNNNNNNNNNNNNNNNNNNNNNNNNNNNNNNNNNNNNNNNNNNNNNNNNNNNNNNNNNNNNNNNNNNNNNNNNNNNNNNNNNNNNNNNNNNNNNNNNNNNNNNNNNNNNNNNNNNNNNNNNNNNNNNNNNNNNNNNNNNNNNNNNNNNNNNNNNNUAUUGAGUUCAUAAGAACAGAGUAACGCCUUAAGCAAGAUGACAUGAUGUAGAUGGACAAUCACAAAUCGAUGAUGAAAGCCCAUCUUGUUACUUGCGUGCCUUGUUGCCCUUCCGUCACUGGGAAAGGUCACCGCACGGUAUGAACCCAAAACCAAGCACUUCUCCCAUUGCAAAAAUCAUAGAUCUAGUUGGCCAAACAAAACCCAAGACUCGGAGAGACUUACAAGGAUAUCAAAUCAUGCAUAUAAGAAAUCAGCAAAGACUCAAAUAUAAUGCAUAGAUAAUCUGAUCACAAAUCCACAAUUCAUCGGAUCUCGACAGACACACCGCCAAAAAGGAUUACAUCGGAUAGAUCUCCAUGAAGAUCGUGGAGAACUUUGAAUUGAAGAUCCAAGAGAGAGAAGAAGCCAUCUAGCUACUAACUACGGACCCGUAGGUCUGAAGUAGACUACUCACGAGUCAUUGGAGAGGCAAUGAUGUUGAUGUAGAAGCCCUCCAGCUCCAAAGUCCCAUCCGGCAGGGCACCGGGAAGGGUCUCCAGAUGAGAUCUCGCGGAAACGGAAGCUUGCGGCGGCGGAAAAGUGGUUUCGUGAACGCCCUGAUUUUUUCUGGGAUUUUAGGGAAUAUAUAGGCCAAAGAGCUAGGGCAGGGGAGCUCCAAGUAGGCCACAAGCCUGGUGGCCGCGGGCCCCCCUGGCCGCGGCUACAUGGCUUGUGGGAUCCUUGUGGGCCUCCUGCCUUGGCCCUCAAGUACCCCGAUCUUCUUCUGUUCUGGAAAAAUUUAUUUCGGGGAUUUUAUUCCUUUUGGACUCCGUUCCAAAACCAGAUCUGAAAACAGUCAAAAACACAAAAAAACAGGAACUGUCACUUGGUACUGAAUUAAUAAGUUAGUCCAAAAAAAGUAUAAAAGGUAUAUAAAACAUCCAAAGUUGACAAGAUAACAACAUGAAACCAUAAAAAAUUAUAGAUACGUUUGAGACGUAUCAGCUAGCUGCAUUGAUUAGUCUACCAUGCAGUCAUACACUUGAUGUACCGAUCUUAAAUUCACCACAUGUCAUUACUAUGAUAUUUGUUCGAUGUGUUUCUGACCUUUGCCGAAGUUUGUCCUGUUUCAGAGUAUUAUAUGAUGAUUUUUCAUUUUUUGUGUUCUAAAAUGUACUGAAUAUUUUUUUGUGCGAUAACAAAACUACUCGGAAACAAGUGUACCCUUCAACAAAACAUCCGGGCAUCUCCAAUGCGGACCAUCAGACCGCCCACAACCGUCUGGACCGCACGGUCCAGAUCCGUUUUGGCAUCCAACGCGGUCCUGCAUUUGUUCGCUCAGCUGCCGGGAUGUGCUUCUCCAACCCCAUGUGCAUGGGGUGUCACAACUAGUGCCAAGGGUUGGGUUGGUCUUUUCUUUUUAUCAUUCACUCUUUUUGGGCAAAAUAAAUCUCAUAUUUUUCAUCAGUGAUCACUUUAGACUGACCUUACAUUCGCACCAUAGGUGAUGCAUGGAAACAUAACAUGGGUGGCACGCACUAGACAGGCAACUUAACUUACAUCUGACAAGGGAUUGGGUAGGUGAGCCAACCUCAUACAUGUGCUGCUAAAUGUACCCUUUACUCCACAACUAAAACAGUGCAUAGCCUUCUCUCCUCCUCCUGGUUUCCGCGUUCAUGUUAAACCAUUGCAAGAGUCAUGAAAAUGCAGAAGAUAUGCAAGUAUUGUUUCAGCCCUUCAAGUUAGGUUGAGAACAUGGAAAGAGAGCUACUUCUCAGUAAUGGAGGAGGCCAUAGGAUACCAAUCCGUAGGCUUGGGAGGCAUUAGGAUGAGUGUUUCUAGUACGACGCGGAAUCACAGUUGCUUUAUUCAUAUGGAAAUCACCACGAUUCUCACAACGACGGAGGCAGAAUAUUUUUUAUGGUAUGGCCAAUGCAAUUUGCCAUGCAUAUAGCAACACCAAGUUUUAAAAUUUCUCUAACACCAACGUGCAUAUAGCCUGAAUAUGAAAUUUUUUAGGUGUCUGUGUGAUGGAGGUCUAACCUUAUCUGAUUGCUGCCUCUGCCACUAGAUUCUUAUGGACACAUUGGACGCUUGCUCGUCCGCACAACCUGGCUUCUCCACUGCCUGGCACGUCCAUGUUCUUACUCGCGCAACGACUUGACUGCAUGUAUUUCAAGAUUAUUUCCAACAAACAUAGCAUGCUCGAUGCGAAUACCAAUUUGUGCCUCUGACGUUACUACUUUUCUAGUAGAUUGUCUUACGUACCCACCUUGGGCUCACCGAGGUCAUUUUCCCCUCUCAAACAUCUGGUUAAUGCGGUGACAUACUAGUUACCGCUGCCGUGAGACUAGAGGCCAAUCGUGCAGAUCUCGUCCACUAUACGCAUGUCAAUGUGUUGCGGUACCAGAUCAAGCCAUGGCCGCCAGGCUGGUAGAUAUAAUACUCUCGGAACGACCUUCUUAUCAUUAGUAGAGAGAUACUAAGGAGGACGAGCUGGCCCUGGGUGGUGAUGAUGAGGGGGUUCUCGUAGAAAUAGGUGUCGGUGGAUGAUACGUCUCCAACGUAUCUAUAAUUUUUGAUUGUUCCAUGCUAUUAUAUUAUCAACUUGGGAUGUCUUAUAUGUCAUUUUAUAUCAUUUUUGGGAUUAACCUAUUAACUCAGUGCCUAGUGUCAGUUUCUGUUUUUUCCGUGUUUUUGACCUUUUUCAGAAAAGAAUAUUAGACGGAGUCCAAACGUAAUAAAACCUGCGGGAUGAUUUUUUCCAUAACAGAAGAUACCUAGAAGACUUGAGAACCAAGGCAGGAGGUCUCGUGGGAGGUCACGAGCCCCCUAGGAGCACCCGAGGGGGACGCCUAAAUAGCAGGCUCGUGGGCCCCCUUGUCUCCAUUGCCCUACCUCUUUCGCCUAUAAAUUCCCAAAAAUCCCGAAACCAAUAGAGAGAGCCACGAAAAUACUUUUCCGCUGCCGCAAGCUUUUGUCUGAACGAGAUACCAUCUGGGGACCGUUCUGGUGCCCUGCCGGAGGGGGAUUCGGACAUGGAGGGCUUCUUCCACUACAAGAAAUAUGUCAACUAACGACCUUUUUGUCACAUCCCUAACCCUUAAGCAAGAUAGCAUUGUGCAUGUCUUCUUUGCAUUUGCAUCCCAGAAGUUUCAACAAAAACAACAAAGUGGCAAAGGAAAAACUCAAAAACCCUAGCCACCAUUUCAACUAAAGGAAAUUUCAACCUAGUUCAAAUCAAUGAACCCAAAAUGGCCUCAAGAAAUGUUCAAACUUUCUGAUAAAUCAUGAAAGUAAAUGAGCAUUAGAGAAAACUAUUUUCUUGACACUUUAAGCAUUUUAAAUAAAUGCAAAAGCCACUGGUUUCAAAUUUAAAAAUUUGAAAUCAGAAACUAUAAUUUUCCAAAAAUGUUGAAAGUCUUGGAAAUGAGUGGGGAUAUUAUAAUAAAUAUUUCACGGGGUCUAAAAUAGUUUUUACUUCUUGUUUUGGAGCUGAAAUAAUUAGCAAAGCAAUAAAUAGAAAAACAGAAAAAACCAAAAAAGAGAAAAUGGGAAAAGCUUACCUGUCGCCCAAGCCAGGCCCGGCCCAUCUCGCCGCUCGUCCCCUUCCCCGCGCCAGUAGGCAGCAGGAGGUGGCCGCCGCCUCCUCCGGCGCGGCCACGCACCUGCGUGCCUGCCUGGCCGCCGGUUCGCGCUGGCGACGACGGGGAUAAGCUCCCCAGAGCCUCCCCUAUCCAUUCCCCGCCUCGGUUCUCCUCCUCCGCCCGGAUCUCCUCCCCCUCCUUGCUGCCGCCAUUAGAGCCGAGCUCGAGCUCGAGCUGGCCGUGCCCCUGGCCAUAGGAUCCCCUCCGCGAGCACGCCAUUAGCUCCGCCUCGUCGCCCUGGUCAUUCCUGCAGAAGCCGAAGCUUCCUCGCGCCCUGCAACGCCCGCAACGCCGUCGUCUUCUUCCUCCGGCCGCCGGACCUCUCCCGUCGAUUCGUCGCCCCCAGGCCUUCCCCGAGCCGUCUGAGCUCUUCUCUGCACUCCCUGUGAGCAUGCGGUGGUUUUCCCUAAGUUUUCCCCGUCGAUCCCCUCCUCUAGCCCUAGUUUCACCGGAGCCCGACGAGCACCGCCGCUGCCGCUCGUCGCUGGUAGCCCUCCGAUGUCCAGCUCGUCCUCCCGAGAGCACCAGAAGCUCCAGGACGACGCGUAGAUGCCAUAGCAGCUAAGAACUAAGCGCGGAUCCCCCUGUUUCAAAGUCCUCGACGACGCCCGAGCUUCGGCCGCCGCUCCGCCUCGUCGCCGACGCCUCUUCUGGCGACCCUAGCCUCCCCAGUUGGUCCUGCCAGAUCGGCCACUUCGCGAGCUUGCUGUAGCUGCCAACCGCGUGCGUUUUCGUGUUGUGCAGCGCCGUCUAGGUCGCCUCCGGCGAGCCCUCCGCCGCGGGUUUGGUCGCCGGCGACCACCCUCCGGUGGCCGCCGACGUGGCCGACCAUUNNNNNNNNNNNNNNNNNNNNNNNNNNNNNNNNNNNNNNNNNNNNNNNNNNNNNNNNNNNNNNNNNNNNNNNNNNNNNNNNNNNNNNNNNNNNNNNNNNNNNNNNNNNNNNNNNNNNNNNNNNNNNNNNNNNNNNNNNNNNNNNNNNNNNNNNNNNNNNNNNNNNNNNNNNNNNNNNNNNNNNNNNNNNNNNNNNNNNNNNNNNNNNNNNNNNNNNNNNNNNNNNNNNNNNNNNNNNNNNNNNNNNNNNNNNNNNNNNNNNNNNNNNNNNNNNNNNNNNNNNNNNNNNNNNNNNNNNNNNAGCCUGAUGCAAUAAAUGGAAUUUCCAGUAUAAAAAUAAUUCAGGAAAUUGCUAAAAAUUGCAAAAAUCAUAGAAAUUAAUCUGUAACUCCAAUGAAAAUAAUUUAUAUAUGAAAAAGUAUCAGAAAAUUCAAGGAUUCUGAUUAUGCUAUUUUCAGCUAUGUUUGAAAAAGUUAGAGAACCCUAAAUUGUGAAAUAAGGAAUAAUUCAAUUCUUUUAAUCACUUUAUAAAUGGAAUUUGCAAAAAUAUCCAAAUUUCAUUAUAAAUGCAAUGAUCACACACUGCCCUAGAUAUAAAUCAGUACCAUAACAUGACAUUUCAUGCAUCUUAACAUUAAGUUGAUCUGAGCAUCAGGUCGAAUCAAUUAAACCGGUAUCCGAGAAUACCCGUUUGAAUUGCUAUUCGAGUGUGACUCAAAUCAACUCUAAACCUAAAACAUCUUGAUUAUAAUAACUUAUCACUUUGCAUUCUCAUGCCAUGCUCAUGCAUCAUUUUGAUUGCAUAUGAUUGUUAUUGAAUGUUGCCAUUCAUUUCGGUAGGCCCCGCACCCCCGGAUUCCACCGAAUAUCCGUCUGACGGAUAUCGUUCCUCCUCUUAGCAACAAGGCAAGCAACCCUUUUGAUCAUCCCAAUAACACCUAUGUUCUUGCUCCUGCACCUAUUUAUUACAUUAGGAUCAAAUGCUUCAACUGCUUUUGCCACGAUAGUUGGACCCACUUCCUUUGCAUGACUUAACCUUGUCACAGUAAAUAGCCGAACCUUGCAACCUAGCAUACCUGGUAGUUGCUUGAGCUAUAAUGUGCCUUAUCCUGCUAUGCAUGCUAUGCUUAGAGUUGUGUAUGGUCUGUCAUCUGGGAGAUGAGCAGAAAUGUGGAAUGUGUUCGGUGAGCAAAGGUUGUGUGUUGAACUUGAUUUGGUAAAGGUACCGGUGAAAGGCUGUGUAGGAGUACAUGGNNNNNNNNNNNNNNNNNNNNNNNNNNNNNNNNNNNNNNNNNNNNNNNNNNNNNNNNNNNNNNNNNNNNNNNNNNNNNNNNNNNNNNNNNNNNNNNNNNNNNNNNNNNNNNNNNNNNNNNNNNNNNNNNNNNNNNNNNNNNNNNNNNNNNNNNNNNNNNNNNNNNNNNNNNNNNNNNNNNNNNNNNNNNNNNNNNNNNNNNNNNNNNNNNNNNNNNNNNNNNNNNNNNNNNNNNNNNNNNNNNNNNNNNNNNNNNNNNNNNNNNNNNNNNNNNNNGUUUCUGGUGUUUAUAGUAAUGUUGGAGGCCGUGCAUGGUGCUGACCUGAGAGGUGGACCGUGAUGCGGUAGGCAGUGGCACGGUGUACCAAGUGGCACCCGGAUGGUGGGAUUGGGAACCCUGCGCACAUCGUUUGAGGCCGUGACGGAAACCUCGGCCGGACUUCCGUACGGGUUACUCUCAGAUAGGCGAUAAACCUGGACUAGGUACUAGUGUGGUUAACGGUCGUGGCCGACUCCCUCGCUGGGCUUCCGCUUGAAGGUUGCCGAGGUGCAUGACGUGCACAUGGCGAUAAGUGGCGGGAGCGUGUGUGACGAAGUACACCCCUGCAGGGUUAUGAUCUAUUCGAAUAGCCGCGUCCGCGGAUAUGGACUACUUGGAGACAUAUGUUGUUCAUAGAUAACUUCAACGGCUACUCAUAAAAUUGUCAAGAUAAGCAUGAGUGUCGUGGACGGCAUUUUCGUAUGGAGACGGAAUGAUUCCACGAUAGUGUAUUGUUGUGGUGUUAGUGGACUCGUGUGCGAGAAAUCAAGUUGUCAAAACUAAUUUAAAAAAGCAAGUUGUCUAGCCGCGAGUCAAAUGCUGGCUUUCCGCAUGAAACCCCACAAUACCUUCUUGAUACCUUGCAUGAGUAGUUAGUCAUCCUAAAGUCUUGCUGAGUACCUUCGUACUCAUGUUUGCUUAAUAAAUGUUGUAGAGGUUGCUAAUGACCCUAAUGGAGGGUUCUUCGUAGACAUCGACGACGACGAGUAGCUGGUGUCCCAGCUACGAUCUGGCCCUACGUCGGCUCUGUAGUAUAGUCAGGCCAUGUGCCUUCUAGUUGCUCUGUCUGUACCCAGACAGUUUAUAACUCUUCCGCUGGCUUGUAUUGUAUGACUGCUAUUAUGGGUCGUGAGACCCUUAAUGUGUAAUAAUAUGUGUGUGGCUCUUCCGAGCCUCUUAAAUAAAGCCUGUAUGUUUAUGGUUAUGUUGUGAUGCCAUCGAUGUAUCUAUACAUAUUGGUAUGCCAUGCGUACGUGUGUCUUACUUGAUAUGUAUGGGGUUCGAAUACCUAGUCGUGAACUUUAGUAGCACUCCUUACAAGGAAAUGCCCCUUUGUGAUCCAACGAGCCUUGGUAGUUCGCUACUGCUCCGGAUACAUUGGUUGACCGGCAUGUGUCCUUCUUAGCUGCUGUGUCUGUCCCCUUUGGGGAAAUGUCACGCGACGUAAUGGAGUCCUUGUAGCUUGCUACGACUCGUCUACGUUCGUUGAUGACCGACACCUGCUUUGUUGGGUCAUGUAUGCCUGUCCUUGUGCGGAACUGCCACUUUGGUUUAUGACUAGACAUGUCGAUCCGGGUUCUUUGACAUUGGAAUGCUAGCGACACUAUCGCAUACGUGGGUCAAAAGACGCAAACGGUCCCGGCUAAGGUAAGGCUGCAGCCGUGGAGUUAACCGUGCGUGAGACCACAAAGGGAUGCGAUGUGUUACAGGCUGGAUUCCUAUGGCUUAGGAUCGGGGUCCCGACACUUUUGUCAGUGACGCUCGAAGGAAUGGUCAUAAAUCUAUGACCAUUUGACAUCAUUUGGUCGUAAGUUGUCUGGAGGGGUCCUAGCCCCAAAAACCAACGACCAUUUUCAUCAGAAAGGUCAUCACUUGCUUACUGGAAAAGGUCAUAAAGCGGACAGCACCUGGCACUGCCUUAUUUCUAGGUGAUAAUGACCAAUAUGAAUGGUCGUUAGUAGGCUGGUGACCAGCGGUGGUGGUGCUGACGCCACGACCACCUCACCCAUCGGUAGUUGUUGCUGUUGCUGUUGCUAUCUACAUCAGAGAGCUGAAUUGAGAUGUUGCCUUUUGCUAACCAGUCGACCAUAAGAUCCUGCCAUAACAUUAAUGAAGCAAAAUAGAAGCAGCAAAAUAGAAGAAGCCAUAGCAUCCUACCACCAUAACAUCAAAAGUAUAAUACAUUCCAACACAGUUCACAACAACCUGCCGAUAACAGAGUGCGCAAAAGUACAAUAGUUCACAAGGACAUUAAACCGAUGAUCAUGGAGGGUGACUAAAUGGGACCUAGAGCCUUCAGGAGGGCUGCAUGCUCUGCCCUGGUCUUGAUGUCUUGAUCAGCACUCCGCGGUAAACCGCGUGCAUGCGAAAUUAGGUGUUCAUAAAUCCCAUCCCUGGGCUUGGGCUUUGUGGUGUAGUAUGGGCAUCUGAACAUUCCCCUCCUGAAGUAGGCCGCCGUCCCCUUCUCCCUGAUCUUCUGGGCUUCCUUCUCAAUGAAGGACUCUUUGUUGCCGUCCUCCACGUCAUCUCCAGAGUUAUACUACACACACAAAUUAAUUGUGCACACAUUAUUCAUUCAUAUAGGCAUUAUGGAGCCAGAACACACACUUCUAAUUCAGAAUGAUGCAAUGAAGAAACAUCAGAUAAUUCCCAUUUACCAAAUUUUAAUGAACAAACAAAGAAAAAAGUCAUGUAUAGUAAUCUAAUUAAACAAACAACAUUAAAACACUCUCUACAUCAAUUUCAUUAAAAAGCCCACCAACAUGCAUUCAUAUAGUGCUUAAGCUGAACUAAAAUAGUUGGGAUUACCUCAUACGGUUCGUCGUCGUCGUAGUCAGAGUCAUACGGGCUCUUGAACCCAGUCUUGGCGAGCUUCCUCUUCAUGCAUGCAACUUCCUUUUCCUGCAAUAUAAGUAAUUCGAUUAGUACAAACUAUGUAACAUAGUAUUCAAAAGGUCAAGCAUUCAACAAUGUGCUUCUAAUUACAUUCAUAGUGUUGCUGCAUCAGCCACCCUAUUCUCUGCACUGGGUCUGUCCUUUGUGCAUUUCACUUAUACAAUCUUUCGAUCCUUCAUACAAAGAUUUAAAUGUCCUUUCAAAAAAUCAAACUGUACACUAUAACUAUAUGUUAUGUAUACACUUCUUUUGUCAGGACAUGUGCUGGAUGUCACAAUGAAAUUGGCCAUGGACGUAAUCAGCCAAUAUAUGACUAUACUAUAACUAUAUGCUUGUAAUCAGCCAAUAUAUGACUAUGAGGUAGCUCUUUGUUGUUUUGUGUACUAAUUAAGCAGUUGCAUUGGUAUUGACUUUACCAACAAAAACAUGCGGUUCUCCAUGUCAGGACACCAUCCAUACCAUAAAACUUGUUACAAGGAGCGCUUUCAUCCAAAAUGUGAUGUCUGCAAGCAAUUUGUAAGUAUCACUUCAUUAUCUUUUCUUAUCUGUUUGCAUAAGACGAUUCUCUCUAUUGUGCAUUUUAUAUAGCAGAACAUUGCACUAUUGGGCUGCUCAGCCCCUGCCGUGCCCCGGUGAGGGGAUAACCACAACAAAUCUAUCAACAUAUCCAGCACAUAAUAAAAUCUAAGCACAUGCAGCAAUCAAGAUCCCAAUUCAAAACCUAACUCUUAUUAAAUCCUUACUAAUAAUCCCAGUAAAAUGCAAGAGAGGGGGCUGACCUAGGCGAAAGUUAGGAAUGGGUGUUCGUAUAUAUCAAGCACGUGACGUAGGUGAAAUCUUUACUAAUAAGAGAAAGAUUCCGUUUAUUCAAACCAACAAAAUGCAAAAGUUUUCCAACACAUGCAAAAGCAGAGUGUGUUCUGCUCUCUAAAUAUAUGAAAGCAGAAAACCCUAUCUAAAUAAUCUCCUGCUUAUCAACGAUAACUAUGAAAGCAGGGGAACGGGAAGCAUUACCACAUCCACAUGCACAAAUCAAGAUUGAAAUUAAAGAAAUCCAAGUCUCAAUAUAUAAAUCUAUGUAGCAUUCAAGCACGAAUCAACUAUAAAAACCCAGAAAACCCUAUCUAAAAAACCCACCUCAUCGUCGGCAGCACCGCUUGAGGUCGUGUCCUCCUCCUUCGGCACCUCCGCAGCGGCGACAACGGUUGCGGUCGUGUCCUCCUGCUUCGACACAGGCACCUCCUUCUCUUCCGCAGUGACGGUGACAGCGGUUGCGGUCGUGUCGACCUCCUGCUGCUUCGGCACCUCAAGCAGAUCCGCAACGGCGACGGCGGGACGAGCGCCCUCCGUUGGGAGACAAGGCCACGAGGGAGACGGUGCGACGAGGGAGACGAGGGAGACGAAAUGGGAGACGAGGCGACUAAGUGGGAGAUGAGGGAGACAGGGCGACGAGGGAGACGAAGUGGUAGUUCCCUCUUUAUACGAUGUGACUAUUCCUGCAAUGUCCCGUCCGCCACGUGCCGUCUAGGACAUCUUAUAAAAAAAUAAAUGGCAUAGACACCUUAAAAAAAAUGGCCCGCUCGAACCUGGACGGCACGAACAUGUUCGGUCGGUCUUUGUGUCUCGCUCGAACCUGGUCGACCGAGCCAGUCUACUCUGCUCACGCUCUGCCCCCCUCGUCGUCGAAGCUCCUCGGCCGCCACCACCUCCGCCACGCCAUGGUUUACGAGGAUGAGAGUAGCAACGACCUAUUGAGCCUGGACAUCAGCUCUUCCUCGGACGGCAUGAUGUACCAGGUAAUUUAUAGAGCUAGGGUUAGGUUUAGGGUUUCAGUUUCUUCACAUUGGGGAUUUAUCUCUGUUUCUUCGUUCUUCUUUAGAUCCCUGCUAGCAUCGACGACAAAGACUACAUGGGCAUCGAGAAUUCUGCCCUGGAUGUUUGCUUGGAGCAUGGGCUGCCGCCUGAGCGUCGCGUAGCAUUCGAAGGAUUUGAGACAGGGAGAAGAUUUUUAGUGUGUGCUCAGCCGGUUAGUUCUAUCUUCUUUAGUGUUAGACAUGCAUAAAGUUGCUUCUGUUUUUUCUAUCUGGCUCAAAAGAUUCAAACUGUCAGUGUUUACUACAUCACUGUCAUUGUUUGUUUAGCUCAAAUAUUCAGACUGUCGGUGUUUACUACAUCACUCUCAUUGUUUGUUUAGCUCAAAUAUUCAGACUGUCAUUGUUUAUUACAACACUGUCAUUGCUAGUUUAGCUAAAAGAUUCUGGCUUGUUACAACACUGUCAUUGCUUAUUUAUUAUAGCAAUGUCGUUGCAUGUUUAUUACAGAAUUCUGGCUUGUUAUUUUCUGGUUAUUUUGUAUUGCUGAAGUACUGGUUAUUUUGUAUUGCAGCCACCUCAAAACUGUGGUUUUGUUGGUUGGGUAGACCAAGAGUGGCCUCCCACAAUGCAAAAUGCAUUGUUAAAACUGUGGGAAAUGUUGGAAGACAGCAAGAGUGCUAGGAGAGAUGAUAAUUUGGAGAAUGCACUGAAAAUUCACCACCUCACAGAGGAGAAAAAAAAUCUUGAUGCAAACUAUGACAAACUAGUAGAAGAUGUGAAUCAAGUGCUCAACCUUGUAGAAGCUCAAGGCGGGGUCAUUAGGACCCAGAAGGCAAAUCAUUUGAAGGAGAAGGACAAACUUAAUGAUCAAAUUUUGGUGCUCAACUUUCACGUUGAUGGUCUGAAGAAAGGAAUUGAGAAUCUGAUUAAACGCAGGGAUGAGCUGAAGAUCCAGAUUGCUGAUCAGUUGAAGGCAUUGGAGAAGAACCAAGAGAAGUUGAAGAUGAUCAGGGACAUUUUGGAUGGAUGAGCUGAUCAGAUGAAGAUGAAGUCCACUAUGCUAUGGUUGAUGUGUUGUUCUGUUGCUGUGUUGCUCUUUUGUACCAAUGUUGUAAUGCAAGAUGAUCAGAAUAUCUAUAUUAUGUAUGAUUAAGUGACUCCACUAUGCUAUGUUCGUAACUGUACUAUGCUAUUGUUGGUGUGUUGCUUUUUUGUAGCAAUGUUGUAAUGCAAGAUGAGAAGAAUCUCUUAAUUAUGAUUAAGUGACUUUAUCUUUGUUCAACCCAAGUAUGUUGAUAGAUUGGUUGAUCUUACUUGUUGUAUCUUAAAAGAUGAGAAGAAUCUCUUAAUUAUAUAUGAUCUGAAGUAUCUAUUUAAUCAUAGAAACACCAAAAGGUUUCCAAGAUUCAACCACUAGGUAGGAAUGGUCAUGCCCGCCGUUACGACCGCAUUUUGAAAUGGCCAUGAAAAAUUCAAAAAAAAUAAAAAAGGGAAAGAUUUGCAUUAUGUCAUCAUAUGUGAUAAAGUUACCAUGUAAAAUAAUAAACUUGCAAUACGACAAUUAUUUUUAAAAAGUGUUCACACAAAUGAGCUAUCAUGUGUGAAGAUUCAUGGCUUUCAAGCCACAUGAUCAAUCUCAUGGCCAUAUUCAUGACAUAGUUUGUUGAAAUGGUCUCCUAUUUUGCAUAAUGGUGCAUGUUGGAGUGACAAACAAUGUUGAUUAAGGAAGUUUUCAUCUUCCUUGUAUGAAAAAUUCAUUUUUCAUUUUUGAAGUGCCCGAAAUGAGUUUUUUUGUGAAGGACCUACCAUAUAUUUGUUUCAAAAUUGGUCCAAAUCAUUUUUCUAACAUACUAGGCCAUAUUUAAUGUACAAUUGACAAAAUGGUUGGGUGUCAAAAGCUUUUAUGCAUCUCUCGUGAAAAAGACAAAUCUAUGUCGAAUCAGCUGGAAGCGGGUCAAAUUUGAACUGCGGCUGCCUUAUAGUUUGCUCUUUAUUUUUCCAAAAAUCAUUUCUAGGUACACAAGUAUCUAUUUAAUAAUAGAAACACCAAAAGGUUUCCAAAAUUCAACCACUAGGUAGGAACGGUCAUGCCCGCCGUUUCGACCGCAUUUUGAAACGGCCAUGAAAAAUUCAAAACAAUUCAAAAAAAUGGGAAACCUUUGCAUUAUGUUAUCAUAUGUGAUAAAGUUACCAUGUAAAAUAAUAAACUUGUAAUACGAUAAUUAUUUUUUAAAAGUGUUCACACAAAUGAGCUAUCAUGUGUGAAGAUUCAUGGCUUUCAAGCCACAUGAUCAAUCUCAUGGCCAUAUUCUUGACAUAGUUUGUUGAAAUGGUAUAAUAUUUUGCAUAAUGGUGCAUGUUGGAGUGACAAACAAUGUUGAUUCAGGAAGUUUUCAUCUUACUUGUAUGAAAAAUUCAUUUUUCAUUUUUGAAGUGCCCGAAAUGAGUUUUUUUGUGAAGGACCUACCAUAUAUUUGUUUCAAAAUUGGUCCAAAUCAUUUUUCUAACAUACUAGGACAUAUUUAAUGUACAAUUGACAAAAUGGUUGGGUGUCACAAGCUUUUGUCCAUCUCUCGUGAAAAAGACAAAUCUAUGUCGAAUCAGUUGGAAGCGGGUCAAAUUUGAACUGCGGCUGCCUUAUAGUUUGCUCUUUAUUUUUUUCAAAAAUCAUUUCUAGGUACACAAGUAUCUAUUUAAUCAUAUAAACACCAAAAGGUUUCCAAGAUUCAACCACUAGGUAGGAACGGUCAUGCCCGCCGUUUCGACCGCAUUUUGAAACGGCCAUGAAAAAUAAAAUAAAAAUAAAAAAAUGGGAAACCUUUGAAUUAUGUCAUCAUAUGUGAUAAAUUUACCAUGUAAAAUAGUAAACUUGUAAUACGAGAAUUAUUUUUAGAAAGUGUUCACACAAAUGAGCUAUCAUGUGUGAAGAUUUAUGGCUUUCAAGCCACAUGAUCAAUCUCAUGGCCAUAUUCAUGGCAUAGUUUGUUGAAAUGGUCUCAUAUUUUUCAUAAUGGUGCAUGUUGGAGUGACAAACAAUGUUGAUUAAGGAAGUUUUCAUCUUCCUUGUAUGAAAAAUUCAUUUUUCAUUUUUGAAGUGCCCGAAAUGAGUUUUUUUGUGAAGGACCUACCAUAUAUUUGUUUCAAAAUUGGUCCAAAUCAUUUUUCUAACAUACUAGGACAUAUUUAAUGUACAAUUGACAAAAUGGUUGGGUGUCAAAAGCUUUUAUCCAUCUUUCGUGAAAAAGACAAAUCUAUGUCUAAUCAGUUGGAAGCGGGUCAAAUUUAAACUGCGGCUGCCUUAUAGUUUGCUCUUUAUUUUUUCCAAAAAUCAUUUCUAGGUACACAAGUAUCUAUUUAAUCAUAGAAACACCAAAAGGUUUCCAAGAUUCAACCACUAGGUAGGAACGGUCAUGCCCACCGUUUCGACCGCAUUUUGUAACGGCCAUGAAAAUUUCAAAAAAAAAAAUCAAAAAAAUGGGAAACCUUCGUGUCGCAUCAUAACAUGUGACCUGCCAACUAGAAAAGAUAUAUAAAUUUGGGUACCGAUGUCUUAUUGAACUGAUCGGUAUGAUUUUAGCCAUUAUUUCUACAAUGUUUAUAAAAAAGAAAAAUAAAAAGUCUGCCUCCAAACCUCAAUAAACUAGUGAAAAUUUUCCCUUCCACCCCACCAAAUUUUCCCUCCCACCCCACCAAAAUUUCCCUCCACUCCCUCUCCCACUACCACGCGGGACCCACCACUCCCUCUCCCACUACCACGUGGGACCCACCACUCCCUCUCCCACUCCCCUCUCCAUUCCACUCCCCACUACCCACGCGGGAUCCAUUCCACUCCCCACUCCGUCGCCCUUCCCCUGCUCCGCGCCGCCGCGCCGCCCCUCCUGUGCUCCGCGUCGCCCCUCCGCCCCUCUCCCCUCUCCCCGACGAUGACUACAUCGAUGAUGUCGAUGGCUACAUCUACAUCGACGACGACUACAUCGACGACGUCGACGGCUACAUCCACAUCGACGACGACGGCUACAUCUACAUCGACGUCGACGGCUACGACUACAUCGACGACGACAGCUGGUACAUCUACAUAAUCAAUAGUCGACGACGAUAGGUACCUCUCCCCUCGACCCAUCUCCCAUUGAUAGAUCCCCCUCAUGUGUUCUUCUAGGGUUUGGUAGAUCCCCCUCAUGUGUUCUUCUAGGGUUCAUGGGGCUGGAUCAAUUGGGAUGGUUCGGUACAUUCAUGGGGUUAGGGUUAGGGUUCAUGGUGUUAGGGUUAGAUUCAUGGGGUUAGGCUUGUAGUUGUCAUGGGGCUGGAUCAUGGGGUCCUGCGUUUGGGAUGGGUAACAAAUGGGGGUACAUCCCCCACCUGGUCGAUCUAGGGUUAGGAUUCAGUAAAUCUAGGAGCUCCUGGAGGUUCUUGUUCAUGUUCAUGGGAUUUAUUCCUAGUGGUUCGUUCUAUCCCUCUCUGGUUAAUUAGAGUUUCCAUCAGCAAUAUUUGCUUGUAUCAGUAGCACUUGGAGAAGAAGCUACUAGGGUUGGUAUCAAUAGUACUUGCUUACUUGCUCCUCUUCAAAUUUCUUCCUUGCUUGCUUGUUUGUAUCAGUAGCACUAUGCUUGUUUCUAUCAGUAGCACUUCUUUUGCUUGCUUGCUUGUAUUAGUAGCACUUAUGAACUUUGCUUGCUUGCUUGCUUGUAUUAGUAGCACUUAUGCACUUUGCUUGCUUGCUUGCACACUUCUUGCUUCUUUAUUCACCAAAUGUUGGGCAACCAGUUGCUAUGAAUGCAUAUGUUUUCCUCCAUUAGGGAUACAGUUGAGUAAUUACUUUGCUUAUAGAUGAUUGCAGGUACAUGGAUAAAAUUGCAAGUUAAAACAUAAAAGUAAUUGUUGUAAAUAGUUAAUGCAUUGCUUCACAUAUAUAGUUUUCUUCAACUAUCAGUUUAGUACAUUACUACCUCCUGUUUCACAUGUUUUAAUACUGAUGCAUUGCUACACUUGUAUGUGCAUGCUAGUCCAAGUGCUUCAAUUUAGUUGCUUGCUUCAACUGUCAGUUUAGUACUGAUGCAUUAACUGUAUGUGCAUUGCUACGCGUGUAUGUGCAUGCUGGUCCAAGUGUUUUACAUGUAUUAGUACUGAUGCAUUAACUACAUCACUAUAUUGUUGAUCCAACAAGUUUGCUAGCUUCACAUGUAUUACAUGUAUGUGCAUGCUUGUCUAAAUGCUUCCCUUUAUUGAUAUAAGUGCAUCAUUUUACUUUAUCCCUGUUGUAUCUAAUUGUUGUUUAUUCUAUUUUGCAAGCACCACCUCAAGAUCAUCCAUGUCAAGGAUGACAAGGUCAAACCCGAGGCCAACCAGUGGUAUGCAAGUUUCUCCUUGUGGUUAUACUGUCAGAUUUAUAAAAUGUGUCUUAAUAUGCUAAGUAAAAUAUCUUGGAGGCUGGUGAUGUAAAAAACUGUCAGAUUUUAUUAUGCCAAUGUAUUGCUGUAAUCUGAAUUAGCUGGCUUAGAUGUGCCUGUGUGCUGUUACUCUUCCUUAGCUGAAUAAGUAGGAUUAAAUGAUAAUAAAAUAUCAUAAGAUAUGUUUGGCUGUCUGUCCAUGCGUUCCAACAAUUAACCUAAUAAUUAUGUUUACUUUGCCUUGCAAAGAUGAGCAUCCUCUCACCGAGUAUGAGACGGUUAGGGCUAGAAAUAUGAUGAGGAACAAUCGGAUAUUCCAGUCCCUUUGCAUUGAUGCAAUAGCGUCAAUGAUUAGGAAAACAAAUGAUGUACAAGAAGGUACAACUAAUGGGGUUCAAUAAGGUAGUGGAGUUAUCAGUGUUGACCCAGAGUACAAUCCUAAGGAGGAUGAAGUUGUAGUGCACAAGACUGUUAAGGUGCAAACUCUGUCUUGCUUGGAGGGUUCGGGUUCUUGUAUGCUCUGUGUUUCCUUGUGCUCACAUAUUUAUCUUGUGAUCUAAUUUUUUUCUGUGCUAUUUAUACAAGGCACUGAAGACCGCCAGCAAGAAGAGGAAGAGCUCAGAAGCAUCUGCUGCAAUGCCUCCAGGAAGGGUGAUGGCCCCACCUCCAAGACGAACAAAGAGGAUCCUGGAACCUGAUGAACCUGAUAGAGUCACAAGGCAGAAAGCAACUAUGGCGGCUGCGAUGGACCAUCAGGAAAGUCUGCUGGGCAUGGACUUUGAGAGCUCGAUGGAAAUGCGUGAUGAGUUUUUGUGAAGCUGUGCACCUGUGAAGUUGUCAAUUAUUUAAGUCAUUGGUCAUUCUGGUGAUGAAACAAUGUCUUGCUCUAUUUGAACCUGAUGAAGUAUUUUGUGAAGUUGUCAAUUAUUUAAGUUUUGUUUGGACCAUUUUGUUUGGGCACUAAAUUUAGUUUGGACAGCAAAAAGGCCGAGGCCCAAACAAGAAAUAGACUAAGAAGGCUUGGGCCUAAAAAAAGAGUAGGCCAAGGCCCAAAUUAGAAUUUGUCUAAAAAGGCUUGGGCCUAAAAAAAUAGUAGGCCAAGGCCCAAACAAGAACUAGACUAAAAAGAGUAGUCCAAGGACCAAAAGAAAAGUGGACUAAUAAAAAACCUGCUCAGUAAAAGAUUCUAUCCCAGAAAAUAAAAGGCCAAAUUAUUGGGCCCGGCCCAUGUAGACGACCGAAUAGACCGGGCUGAAUCUUAUUUACGACCUUUUCAUUUGGUUAUAAUUCUGCCACGGUGGCUCUGACGUGGUGCGGGCAGAUUGCUAGUGACCAAAGCAUUUGGUCGUUAAACCUACGACCUUUUGUUUGCUCAUAAAAUCCUACGACCAAUCCAGAAAAAAGGUCGUUAUAGUUCAUUAAAGACCCUCAGCUUUAGACCUUUUAUUUUUGGUCAUGAAAAGGUCACAAAUGGAAAUCAAUGACCAUUCAGUGACCAAUAUUGAAGGUCGUUAGUUGACAUAUUUCUUGUAGUGUUCAUCAACACCAUUGCCUCUCUGAUGAUGCGUGAGUAGUUCACCUCAGACGUUCGAGUCCAUAGCUAGUAGCUAGAUGGCUUCUUCUCUCUCUUGGAUCUUCAAUACAAAGUUCUCCAUGAUCUUCAUGGAGAUCUAUCCUAUGUAACUUUCUUUUGCGGUGUGUUUGUCGAGAUCCAAUUAAUUGUGGAUUUAUGAUCAGAUUAUCUAUGAAUAUUAUUUGAUUCUGCUCUGAUUUGUUAUAUACUUGAUUUCGUAUCCUUGUAAUUCUUAUCGAGUUAUGGGUUUCAUUUGGCAAACUUGAUCUAUAAUUCUUGCAAUGGGGGAAGUGCUUGGUUUUGGGUUCAUACUGUGCGGUGUCCUCACCUAGUGACAAAAGGGGUAGCGAGGCACACAUCAUGUUGUUGCCAUCAAGGGUAAAAAGAUGGGGUGUAUAUCAUAUUGCAUGAAUUUAUCCCUCUACAUCAUGUCAUCUUGCUUAAGGCGUUACUCUGUUUGUUAUGAACUUAAUACACUAGAUGCAUGCUGGAUAGCGAUCGAUGUGUGGAGUAAUAGUAGUGGAUGCAGAAAAUAUCGGUCUACUUGUCUCGAACAUGAUGCAUAUAUGUAUGAUCAUUGCCUUAGAUAUCAUCAAGACUUUGUGCGAUUCUAUCAAUUGCUCGACAGUAAUUCGUUCACCCACCAUAAUACUUCCUAUCAUGAGAGAAGCCUCUAGUGAACACUAUGGCCCCCGGGUCUAUUUUACACAUUAUAUAUUCAGAUCUACAUACAAAAAUACCAAAAAUACCUUGUUGCACUUUUAUUUAUAUUUACCUUUUAUCACUAUUAGAUCUCACCUUGCAAGUAAUCGUGAAGGGAUUGACAACCCCUUUAUCACGUUGGGUGCAAGUUUGUGUGUUUUUGCGCACGUGAAUUGGUGCCUCAUCUUGAUACUCCUACUGGAUUGAUACAUUGGUUCUCAAACUGAGGGAAAUACUUAUCUCUACUUUGCUGCAUCGCCCUUUCCUCUUCAAGGGAAAAACCAACGCAAGCUCAAGAAGUAGCAGUGGACCAGGCGAGGACAUAUAGGAAACGCGUGGCACGCGAGCGACAAACAAGGUGGCCUGGUGGCCAUGGUGCGAUGGCCGUCAUGAGUGUCCGUGGAGUGGUAGUAGGCGGUAGUUGCUUUGGUAUCCUUCGUGAAGAAGGGCCCGAUGUCGAGGAGUUAACUCUCAGGGGUAUCGAGGGCGGCGGCGGCAGGCGGAUGGAAAGAUACUAGUGGAAUAUCACCACACUAUGAUCAUGAAACAGAUCCACCUCCAUCCUACCUAGCUAUGCAACUUCUUCUAGAUUGGAUUGACUAUCAGCACACCAUACAUAAGUUGCGAAAGGGCGGCGAGAUAAAAUAGAUUGGUCAGAUUUUUGUUUGAGGAAGAUUUUUAUUAAAUCGAAACUUGUAAGACGGUUGGGGGUCUUCAAGGUCCGGUAAAAAACUAUGUGAAAUACCCCUAAAUUAAUCGUGCAAUGACAUUUAAGCUAAAAUUGUGAAGACUGGCAGACUAAGGCAUAGCCUAAUGGUAGAAAUGGGCUGAUGCCUUCCCACCCACCCAGGUUCAAGGCAUGGUGCUUGUAAUUUAGGGUUGUUGCAUCAAUUAUACAGUAGGAGCCUCACUUAAUGUCUUGCUAUAAAAAAAAUAUGAAUACUACGGAUAGUUAACAAGCUGAGACUGCACAUACAUUCAUAGGACAAGUGAUGCUUGACAACAUAAGAUGGGCGUAGAUUUUCAUCUUAACUUUAAUAUAACAAGCUUUCUUUUAGCAAUUUUAAUCUAACAAGUUAUUGGGUGCAUGAGCCAAUUACGUACACAUGUCGCUCACCUGGCCCAGCCCAGCUCUCUCUCUGUCGUCUUCCUCCUCGUGAGUGGGCAGCAGGAGGUGGCCGCCGUGUACUCCGGCGCGGGCACGCACCUGUGCGCCAGCCUGGCCGCCGCUUCGCGCUGGCACGCGAGGGGAUAACCUCCCCGCAGCCUCUCCAUGCUUGCCCCUCUCCUCAUUCGCCCCCUCUUCCUCAUCCUUCUUUGCCGCCAUUAGAGCCGAGCCCGAGCUCGAGCUCACCGUCGUUCUAGCCCACCACUCCUCCUUCUGAGCCGUGCAACAGAUCCGCCGCAGCUCCCUGAAGCUCCCAAGCUACGAGCCCGACGCCAGGAUGCAGUGAAUCGACGAGACGCGGUCGUCUUCUUCCUUGGGUCGCCGAAGCUCGCCGCUGGCGUUCUCUCUCUAAAGGCCGUCCCCAAGCAAGCUAGCACUACCACUGCACUCCCCGUGAACCUAGCAAAAUUUCCCCCAAGUUUCCCCCUUCGAUCUCUUCCUCUAGCCUUGUUUUCACUGGAGCCCGACAAGAUCCGCCGCGGGAGCUCAUCGGCGGUAGCCCUCCGGUGAACGGCUCGUCCAUCUGAGGCCACCAGUGGCUUUAGGGCGUCGAGUAGGUACUGUAGGAGCUCACUCCCGUGCGUAACUCCCACUGUUCCGAAGAGCCCAGCGAUGCCCGAGCUUCGGCCGCCGCCAAGCUCGUCGCCGGUGCCCUCUCCGGCGAGUUCGUCCUCGGCUAAAUGCAAAAAUGGACCUGCGGGACGCGUGUCGUUCUUCCGGUGCACUCCGCGCAGAGUUUGGCCGCCUGUGCCGCGUUUCCGAGCCUCUCCGGCAUCCUGGAGGUCGCCGGAGGCUCACCGUCGGCGAGAACGACCUCGCCGCCGGUGGAUCUGACCCCCGUGAGUCUAUGACAGGUGGGGUUAGCCUCUGGUUAAUUAGUAAUAAUAAAAAUAAAAUUAACUUAAUUAAAUUAACCUAAGCAGUCACUGACAGGUGGGUCCUACCCUGAUAAUUAACUAAUUAACUUAAAUUUAAACUAAAAACUGGCCUGAGUCACUGACCAGUGGGUCCCACUGGUUUGGUUUGACUUUCAACGGCCAGUUGGACCUGCUGAUGUCAUGGUGAUGCAAUAAAGCUUUUUAUGUUUAAAAAUAAUUCCAGAAUAAGUUCAAAACUUUGGAAAUUCAUAAAAGUUUGAAUAUAACACCAAAUUGGACAAAUAAUAUAUGAAAAAUUAUCAGAAAAAUCCAAGGAAUCUGAAUAUGUCAUUUUCAAACAUGUUUGAAAAUGUUAACUUCACCAAACAUGCAAAAUGGUGAAUAGGUUAAAUUUCAUAAAUGCUUUGGAGUUGGAAUUUGAAAUUCAUUUGAAUUCCACUUCAAGUGCCAUGACCAAACAAUUCUCAAUCACAACCAGCAACUCAACAUAUCAUUCCCAUGCAUAUUAAAACAAGAUGACCUGAGCAUCAGGUCGAAUCAAUUAAAAGGGUAUUCGAAAAUACCUGGUUUGGAGUGAUAUUUGAAUCUUGAUUCAAAUCAACUUCAACUUAAUAAAUGGUACCUACAUUAGCCUACCACCUUUCAUCUUCAUGCCAUGCUCAUGCAUCAUCUUAUUGCAUAUGAUUGAUAAUGAUUGAUGUCAUUUCUAUCGGUAGGCUCCGCUCCUCCGGAUUCCACCGAAUAUCCGACUGACGGAUAUUGUCCCUCUGCUGAGCAACAAGGCAAGCAACCAUUUUGAUCAUCCCGAUAAAUCCCAUGUGCUCACUCCUGCACUUACUUAUUGCAUUAGGAUCAAAUGCUUCAAAUGCUUUUGCCACGUUAGUUGAACUCACUUCCUUUGCAUGACCUGUCUUUGUCACAUUAAAUAGCUGAACCUUGCAACCUAGAAUACCUGGUAGAUGCUUGAGCCAUGAUGUGCCUUAUCCUGCUAUGCAUGCUAUGCUUAGAGUUGUGUAUGGUUUGUCAUCUGGGUGAUGAAAAGAAUUGUGAGAAUGCGUUCAGUAAGUAAAGGUUGUGUGUUAAACCUGAUUUGGUAAAGGUACCGGUGAAAGGCUAUGUAGGAGUACAUGGCGGGUUGUUUCAUUGGAACCGUCCUUAGGAACUGAGUUCCGUGUAUGUAAUCCAAGACGAGAUACUACCACAUGCUGGGCCCUGAAAUAUGUACCCGCUCGACUUAUUAACCGCUUAGUACUCGGUCCAGGAGUUGCAAUUAGUUUAUGGUGUUUAUAGUCAUGCUGGAGGCCGUGCAUAGCGCUGACCUAAGAGGUGGGCUGUGAUGCGGUAGGCAGUGGCACGGUGUACCAAGUGGCACCCAUAUGGUGGGCUUGGGAACCCUGUGCACAUCAUUUGGGGCCGUGGCGGAAACCUCGGCCGGACUUCCAUGCGGGUUACCCUCAGAUAGGCGAUAGACCUGGACUAAGUAUUAUCGUGGUUAACGGUCGUGGCCGACUCCCUCGCUGGGCUUCCGCUUGAAGGUUGCCGAGGUGCAUGACGUGCACAUGGCGAUAAGUGGCGAGAGCGUGUGUGAAGAAGUACACCCCUGCAGGGUUAUGAUCUAUUCAAAUAGCCGCGUCCACGGAUAUGGACUACUUGGAAGCAUAUGUUGUUCAUAGAUAACUUUAAUGGCUACUCAUAAAAUUGUCAAGAUAAGCGUGACUAUCGUGGACGGCAUUUCCAUAUGGAGACGGAAUAAUUCCACGAUGGAGUAUUGUUUUGGUGUUAGUGGACUCGUGUACGAGAAAUCAAGUUGUCAAAAUUAUUUAAAAAUGCAAGUUGUCUAGCCACGAGUCAAAUGCUGGCUUUCCGCAUGAAACUCCACAAUUCCUUAUUGAUACAUUGCAUGAGUAGAUAGCUUAUCCUAAAGUCUUGCUGAGUACUUUUGUACUCAUGUUUGCUUAAUAAAUUGUCGCAAAGGUUGUUAAUGACCCUAAUGGAGGGUUCUACCUAGACAUCGACGACGACGAGUAGCUGGUAUCCCAGCUACGAUCUGGCCCUAGGAUGGGUCUGUAGAUAGUCAGGCCAUGUGCCUUUGUCAUUCCUUCUGUCUGUAAUCAGACAGCUUUACUCUUCCGCUGGUUUGUAAGAAUUGUAUGUAUGACUUGUGAUGAUGGGUCGUGAGACCCCUACCUUGUAAUAUUAUGUGUGUGGCUCUUCCGAGCCUUCUAAAUAAAGUUUGUAUGUUUAUGGUUAUGUUGUGAUGCCAUCGAUGUAUCUAUACUUAUCGGUAUGCCAUGCGUACAUGUGUUGUACUUGACAUGUAUAGGGUUCGAUUACCUAGCCGUAGGCUUUAGUAGCAUUCCUUACAGCGAAAUGCCCCUUUCUGAUCCAACGACCCAUGGUAGUUCGCUACUACUCCGGACACACUGGUUGACCGACAUGUGUCCUUCUUAGCUGAUGUGUCUGUCCCCGUUGGGGAAAUGUCAUGUGAUGUAAUGGAGUCCUUGUAGCUUGCUACGACUCGUCUACAUUCACUGGUGACCGGCACCUACUUUGCUGGGUCAUGUAUGCCUGUCCCUGUGCGGAACUGCCACGUUGGUUUAUGACUAGACAUGUCGAUCUGGGUUCUUUGUCAUUGGAUUGCUAGAGAUACAAUUGCAUACGCGAGUCAAAAGGCGCAAACGGUUCCGGCUAAGGUAAGGCUGCAGCCGUGGGGAUAACCGUGCAUGAGACCGCAAAGAGAUGCGAUCUUAUACAGGCUGGAUUCCUAUGGCCUAGGAUCGGGGUCCCGACAUCGUUGGUAUCAGAGCCUGACUGACUAUAGGAUUACUAAGCCAAACUGGUCGAAGUUGAGUCUAGAAUUUCUUUAGUUAUAUUUAAGGGAAUUGUUUGUGGAAGGGAACGUAAGACUCUUGUUCUCUUCUCAAGUUAUUCUAUUAUGGUCAUCCUCGUAUUUUCUGCGGGGAUUAAGGACUAGGUUACUUACCUUCUCUUAGGCUCGUGUUUGUGAUCGGUAGACUAUAGGACAACGGGUCGGGAGGUAUUUCGGGUUUCUUUUAUCCCUAGGAAAAGGAAGUCAUUUUUGAUGAUCAGAGAAUUGAACUUGAUAGUUGAGUGGUUACGCUAUCCUAUCUUUAUGGGUUGUCUCAAAAUUGUUUUUGAGCAUUUACAGUCAUUAUGCUGCCCAAUUUUGUCUUCAGAGCUCUAAUGUUUUUGCAUUACUCUCUAUUUUCAAAUGCUUGGCCGUCCUUCUCGUCAGGUGGUUCGUCUGACUAGGUGCAUUGAUGUGUCGGGUCAUAGGGCCAUGCUAGUCAGGAUGAUGCAGUGUCCGGUUACCGCUGGUACCCAGAGUACAUAGUGGAGGAGCAGUACCGGGAUUUUUAUCAGAGCCAGUACCUCUGCACUGUUAGGGUAUUCCCAUAUUACCCUGGAGCUCAGGAGCCAAUCCAUUGGUCUUAUGGAUUGGGAGUCACUGUUGACACGGCAGUACAAGAUGCUGCCUAUUCAAUGCUGACCAUCAUGAGGGCUAGACAUGCACUGCUGCAGAAUUCUGAGUUCUGCUAUGUUCGUGCCUCUCAGCCAGGUGAAGAAGGAUACCUCAGUGGGGUCUACUUUGAUUCCUCUAUGGAGGAUCCACUACUGCAGUCCACUGCUGAGAUGCUAGAGAAUAGAGAUAGGGAUGCUCGUGCCCUUCGUAUGGAGCUCUAUGCUACACGUCCCCGUCUAUGGACGCCUUUGACGCAGCUGGCACCUGUAGUCCACACAGGGUAUGGAGAUAUGGAGAUGCUGAACCUUGUUAGAAACCAUCUUCUGGCCCAUGUUGACUGGCCUCCUAUGGGAGGAGUCACCCCUCUUCGGGGACCUCUACUACCACCAGUUAGGGGUCCAAGGCCACAUCCGUGUCCUUACGGAUCCCAGGGAUCUCAGGCUGGAGUAUUUGCUGAUCCGCAAGUUGAGCUUCCAGGCCAUGGAGGCAAUAUUUAUGAGAUGUUCUAUGCGGAUGCCUGAACCGUGAGUGGAAGGAUAGUAUGGUAGUAGUUGUACUUUCACAGUCAUGUGUGACUUGUGAAGUAUGCUUGUGUCGUGAAAUGAAUUCCGGAGGCAUAGAUAAAUAAUGUAUAGGAAGCCUGGAAGCCUCUGAUGAGUAGUUUCAUAUUUUCAGUAGUUUGUUCUUUGGUUAAGGUUGUACUGAACUAUGUAAUGGUGUGUAUGAACCAUGGUGUAUAUAUAGCAGUUGCUUGUUACCAUGCUGUUCGGAUAUUCAUUUCCGUAUUCCAUGUGUUCAGUGCAUUCUUAAUCCAUAGCUAGUAUUGAUGAUGAUAUUGGUCUAAGCUAUGAGUUUGUUUGUCAGGAUGCUGUUCACCAGGUUGAACCGUGUCCCUGCUCAUGAGCAAGGCGAGGGUAGUCAAGCGUCGCAGGAAGAACUGCCUCACCCAUCCUCUCUGGCGGAAGUUAUGCCUGAGGCAGAGAGAAACAAAAGGGAGACCAACCGACUGUUAGAGCGUAUUGAGCAAAAUACGGCUCGUCAGCCUAGGAAUGCUGCAGUGUCCCUCAAUGACUUUGUGAAGCUGAAUCCUCAAAAGUUCCAUCACUCCGUCGAUCCCCUCGACGCUGAUGAUUGGCUGUGCAGUAUCUCACGUAAGAUUCGCUCUGCGAAUGUUUCUAAGGCCGACAAGGUGACCUUUGCGGCGUACUUUCUAGAACGACCCGCCAAUCUGUGGUGGGAGAACUUUGAAGCUAUGCGUCCUGCUGAACCAGCAGCUACAUGGGAAGACUUUAGUGCAGCCUUCCGUCUGCACCAUAUUCCAGAGGGCCUCAUGGACAAAAAGAGAGAGGAGUUCUGUGCAUUCACCCAGGGAAAGUUGACCGUGGAUGCCUAUAACCGCGAGUUCGGUAACCUCGCCCGCUAUGCAACAGAGGAGGUGUCUACUGAUGCCAAGAAGCAAGCAAGAUUCCGUAAGGGUCUGAGCCCUGAGCUUCGUCGUGAUUUGCGCCUCAUGAAUGUACAAGCUUCCAAGCCCUGGUCAACAAGGCGAUCAGUGCCGAGACUUGUCAUACCGACUAUAAAGCCACAAAGAAGCACUCCCGUGACUUUGGCUCGUCAUCUGGUUCCGCGUUCCCAAAACGCAGGUUGUGGGUUCCAAAUACUUCUCUGCCGCCAAGAUACACUCCGAGGCCAUCCUAUGUGGCGCCUUAGACGAAUCAGACCAACCCUCCAGCAAAAACCUAUGGUGGUCCAGCUAGCAAUGCUGCACCACGUGCUAAUCAGGUGAUCUGUUAUAAGUGUGGAGAACCAGGGCACUAUUCCCGUGAGUGUCCUCAGAAUGUGGGUGCCAAGCAACCCGGAAAGUCCGUUGGGCAAGGCAAGUCGGGCAAAUCUUACUAUGUGAAGCCAACUCCUACACGUGGCCGUGUGAACUAUGUUUCAGCAGAAGAAGCUGCAAAGGAUCCCGACGUCAUACUGGGUACGCUCCUUGUUAAUCAUCACCCAGCGUCUGUUCUUUUUGACACUGGGUCUUCUCAUUCUUUCAUUUCAGAAAGUUAUGCGCAGUUGCAUAACAUGUCUUUCUUUGAUAUGCCAAUUCCAUUGGUUGUCGAAACUCCUGGUAGUAAGUGGCAAACCUCCAGGAUAACCUAUGGCAAUGAAAUUCUAGUAGACAGGCUAGUUUUUCUAGCAUCAUUGAUAGCCUUGAAAUCUUCAGAUAUUAAUAUCAUCUUGGGUAUGGACUGGAUGUCAGCUCACUAUGCCAAGAUUGAUACUCAUUCCAGAAAUGUUCAGCUUACCCAUCCCUCGGGUGAGAUAGUCAGUGUCUCUACUCGAGUUGCCAAAUGCCAACUCUAUUCCCUCAAUGCCAACCUUCUUCCGGAACUUGAAGACAUCCCGGUAGUCUGUGACUUCCCAGAUGUUUUUCCAGAGGAACUGCCAGGAAUUCCACCUGACAAAGAUGUAGAGUUUGUGAUAGAUCUUGUUCCGGGAACUAUUCCAAUAGCCAGAAGAACAUAUAAGAUGGCACCCCUGGAGCUAGCCGAACUUAAGAAGCAACUAGAUGAGGCCUUGAAUAAAGGUUUCAUUCGUCCUAGCUCUUCUCCUUGGGCUUGUCCCGUCCUCUUCGUCAAGAAGAAAGACGGAACGGAUCGGAUGGUUGUAGAUUACCGACCAGUUAAUCUGGUCACCAUAAAGAACAAGUAUCCGCUCCACAGGAUCAACGACCUGUAUGAUCAGCUCGCUGGAUCCCCAGUCUUCUCAAAAAUGGAUUUGAGGUUAGGAUACCAUCAAAUCAAGAUCUAGAACGGGACAUUCAAAAAACGGCUUGUUUCACUCGUUAUGGCCAAUACGAGUACAUCAUCAUGUCCUUCGGUUUAACCAAUGCCCCAGCCACCUUCUCUCAGUUGAUGAAUUCAAUCUUCAUGGAGUAUUUGGAUAAAUUCGUCGUAGUAUACGUCGAUGAUAUUCUCAUCUACUCGAAGAACGAACAAGAACAUGCCGAGCAUCUAAGGUUGGUAUUGAUGAAACUUCGGGAGCAUCGCCUUUAUGCCAAGUUUUGUGAAUUUUGGUUACCAGAAGUGACCUAUCUAGGUCACGUAAUCUCUGGUAAGGGUAUUGCUGUCAAUCCCGAGAAAGUUCAAGCUGUCCUUGAUUGGACUCAACCUGAAUCGGUUAAGCAAGGUAGGAGUUUUCUUGGUCUAGCGAGCUAUUUUCGCCGCUUUGUCGAGAAUUUCUCCAAGGUUGCAAAGCCUCUAACUGAACUCCUCAAGAAAUAUAAAAAGUUCGAGUGGACACCAAAGUGUGAGCAUAGUUUUCAGGAACUGAAAAGACGCCUGACUUCCGCACCUGUGUUGCUACCACCAGAUUUCUCUAAGGACUUUGUUAUCUACUGUGACGCCUCACGACAAGGAUUAGGUUGCAUUCUCAUGCAAGAUCGUCAUGUGAUUGCAUAGGCAUCUCGACAGUUGCGUCCACAUGAGGAUAAUUAUCCCACACAUGAUCUUGAGCUUGCAGCUGUAGUCCAUGCACUUAAAACCUGGUGACAUUACCUUCUUGGUAAUCGUUGCAAAAUAUUCACUGAUCACCAAAGUCUAAAAUAUAUCUUCACCCAGCCGGAUUUGAAUCUCAGGCAAAGACGGUGGAUUGAGUUGAUCAUGGAUUACGACUUAGGGAUAACUUACACCCCGGGGAAGUCCAAUGCUAUGGCUGAUGCACUAAGUUGCCAAAUGCCAACUCUAUUCCCUCAAAGCCAACCCUCUUCCGGAACUUGAAGACAUCCUGGUAGUUCGUGACUUCCCGGAUGUUUUUCCAGAGGAACUGCCAGGAAUUCCACUUGACAGAGAUGUAGAGUUCGUGAUAGAUCUUGUUCCGGGAACUGUUCCGAUAGCCAGAAGACCAUAUAAGAUGGGACCCCUGGAGCUAGCCGAACUUAAGAAGCAACUAGAUGAGGCCUUGAAUAAAGGUUUCAUUCAUCCUAGCUCUUCUCCUUGGGCUUGUCCCGUCCUCUUCGUAAAGAAGAAAGACGGAACGGAUCGGAUGGUUGUAGAUUACCGACCAGUUAAUCUGGUCACCAUAAAGAACAAGUAUCCGCUCCCCAGAAUCAAUGACCUGUAUGAUCAGCUCGCUGGAUCCUCAGUCUUCUCAAAAAUGGAUUUGAGGUUAGGAUACCAUCAAAUCAAGAUCAAGAACGGGGACAUUCCAAAAACGUCUUUUGUCACUCGUUAUGGCGAAUACGAGUACACCGUCAUGUCCUUCGGUUUAACCAAUGCCCCAGCCACGUUCUCUAGCUUGAUGAAUUCAAUCUUCAUGGAGUAUUUGGAUAAAUUCGUCGUAGUAUACCUCGAUGAUAUUCUCAUCUACUCGAAGAACGAACAAGAACAUGCCGAGCAUCUAAGGUUGGUAUUGAUGAAACUUCGAGAGCAUCGCCUUUAUGCCAAGUUUUGAAAAUGUGAAUUUUGGUUACCAGAAGUGACCUAUCUAGGUCACGUAAUCUAUGGUAAGGGUAUUGCUGUCAAUCCCGAGAGAGUUUAAGCUGUCCUUGAUUGGACUCAACCUGAAUCGGUUAAGCAAGUUAGGAGUUUUCUUGGUCUAGCGAUCUAUUGUCGCCGCUUUGUCGAGAAUUUCUCCAAGGUUGCAAAGCCUCCAACUGAAAUCCUCAAGAAAGAUAAAAAGUUCAAGUGGACACCAUAGUGUGAGCAUAGUUUUCAGGAACUGAAAAGACGCCUGACUUCCGCACCUGUGUUGCUACCACCAGAUUUCUCUAAGGACUUUGUUAUCUACUGUGACGCCUCACGACAAGGAUUAGGUUGCAUUCUCAUGCAAGAUCGUCAUGUGAUUGCAUAGGCAUCUCGACAGUUGCGUCCACAUGAGGAUAAUUAUCCCACACAUGAUCUUGAGCUUGCAGCUGUAGUCCAUGCACUUAAAACCUGGCGACAUUGCCUUCUUGGUAAUUGUUGCGAAAUAUUCACUGAUCACCAAAGUCUAAAAUAUAUCUUCACCCAGCUGGAUUUGAAUCUCACGCAAAGACGAUGGGUUGAGUUGAUCACGGAUUACGACUUAGGGAUAACUUACACACCGGGGAAGGCCAAUGUUAUGGCUGAUGCACUAAGUCGUAAGUCUUAUUAUAACAAUUUGAUGCUACAACGAGGUCAACCACAUCUCUAUGAGGAAUUUCGGAAGUUAAAUCUCCAUAUUGUUCCUCAAGGAUUCAUUUCUACCCUGGUGGCGAAGCCUACUCUUAAGGAUCAAAUUAUAGCUGGCCAGAAGCGUGAUAAGGGUAUAUCACGGAUCAAGGAGAAUAUUAUUAGCGGAAACGCUAAUGAAUUCUCCAUGAAUGAUCAAGGUGUUGUGUUCUUGCAAAAUCGUCUAGUGGUUCCUAAGAAUCCACAUCUAAGGCAGUUAAUCCUUAAGGAAGCUCAUGAUUCUCCUCUCACCAUUCAUCCUGGUAGUACUAAGAUGUAUCAGGACCUACGCCAGAGGUUUUGGUGGACUAGGAUGAAGAGAGAAAUUGCUGAGUUCGUUGCUAACUGCGACGCUUGUCGUCGAGUUAAGGCAGAACAUCGAAGGCCUGCUAGCACCCUUCAACCUUUAGCUAUUCCUGAAUGGAAAUGGGAUAAAGUCAGUAUGGAUUUCAUUACCCGAUUUCCCAAGACCAAGAAUGGAAAUAAUGCUAUCUUUGUGGUCAUUGAUCGUCUCUCCAAAGUAGCCCAUUUUCUUCCAGUUCGUGAGAGUAUAACAGCUAGCCAGCUAGCAGAGUUCUAUGUCUCUCGAAUAGUGUCUCUUCAUGGUGUUCCCCUGGAGAUUAACUCAGACCGUGGAAGUAUCUUUACUUCUCGCUUCUGGGAAAGUUUUCAAAAUGCUAUGGGGACUCACUUAUCUUUUAGCACUGCUUUCCAUCCUCAAUCAAGUGGUCAAGUAGAAAGAGUGAAUGAAGUCCUAGAAGAUAUGCUCCGAGCUUGUGUUAUAUCGUUCGGUAUGAAUUGGGAGAAGUGCCUUCCAUUCGCCGAAUUUUCUUAUAACAAUAGUUAUCAAUCAAGUUUGGGCAAAGCUCCUUUUGAAGUUCUCUAUGGACGAAGAUGUCGAACACCUCUUAAUUGGUCAGAAACCGGAGAGAGGCAACUCUUUGGCCCGGAUAUGAUCCAGGAUGCAGAAGAGCAGGUUCACAUUAUUCGUGAAAAGUUGAAAACAGCCCAGUCUCGUCAAAAGAGCCAAUAUGAUCGUCAUCAUAAGGCUGUGACCUUUGAAGUUGAUGAGAAGGCUUACCUCCGGUUACACCUUUGAAGGGUACCCAUCGAUUCGGUAUCAAGGGAAAGUUGGCUCCUCGUUACAUUGGUCCUUUUGGCAUUCUUGCCAAAUGAGGAGAAGUUGCCUACCAGUUGGAACUUCCUUUGCAUCUUUCCAAGGUUCAUGAUGUUUUCCACGUCUCGCAACUCACGCGUUGCUUUUCGGAUCCUACCCGUGAAGUGGACCACGAAACGCUUGAUCUCCAAGAUAACCUUUCAUACCGAGAAUACCCUGUGCGUAUUCUUGAUCAAGCUGAGCGUACCACUCGACCUCGAAACCUCAAGUUUCUUAAAGUUCAAUGGUCAAAUCAUUCUGAAAAGGAGGCAACAUGGGAAAGAGAGGAUCGUCUCAGACUUGAGUAUCCCGCGUUAUUCCCGACGACUUCCAAAUCUCGGGACGAGAUUUUUUUGAGUGGGGGUGAGUUGUCACAUCCCUGGACCCCUAACUAGGUUUUAGCAUUGUGCUCAUGUUUACAUUCAUUGCAUUCAAGAACUUGAAACAAAUUCAAAGCAAGUGGUGAAACAAAACCCCAAAAACCCUAGCCACUUCUCAAAAUUCAAGGAAAUUCAAAACUUGUUAAAAUCAAUGAACCCAAAAUUGCCUCAAGAAAAGUUCAACUUUUCUGAUAAUUCUUGAAAACAAAUUAUCACGGAAGAAAACUAUUUUCAAAACACAUUUGGCAUUUUAUGUAAAUUCAAAAAGCCACUGAAUUCAAGUUUAAAUUUGAACUCAAAAACUUUCAAGUUUUCAAAAAUGUUGAGAACUUCAGUAAUGGUUGGAAAUAUUCCAACUAAUAUUUCAGUGUGUUCAAAAUAAUUUUUGAACUAAGUUUGGAGCCAAAAUAAAUAACAGAACAAUUUAGCUUCAAAACAGAAAACAAAAUAGAAAAAAAAUGGGAAAAGCUUACCUGUUGCUCACCUGGUCUAGCCCAGCUCUCUCUCUGUCGUCUUCCUCCUCGCCAGUGGGCAGCAGGAGGUGGCCGCCGCGUACUCCGGCGCGGCCACGCACCUGUGCGCCUGCCUGGCCGCCACUUCACGCUCGCACGCGAGGGGAUAACCUCCUCGCAGCCUCUCCAUGCUCGCCCCUCUCCUCAUUCGCCCCUCUGCCUCAUCCUUCUCUGCCGCCAUUAGAGCCGAGCCCGAGCUCGAGCUCGCCGUCGUUCUAGCCCACCUCUCCUCCUUCUGAGCAGUGCAACAGAUCCGCCGCAGCUCCCUGAAGCUCCCAAGCUACGAGCCCGACGCCAGGAUGCAGUGAAUCGACGAGACGCGGUCGUCUUCUUCCUCGGGUCACCGAAGCUCGCCGUCGGCGUUCUCUCUCUACAGGUCAUCCCCGAGCAAGCUAGAGCUACCACUCCACUCCCCGUGAGCCUAGCAAGAUUUCCCCCAAGUUUCCUCCUUCGAUCUCUUCCUCUAGCCCUGUUUUCACCGGAGCCCGACGAGAUCCGCCGCGGGAGCUCGUCGGCGGUAGCCCUCCAGUGAACGGCUCGUCCAUCUGAGGCCACCAGUGGCUUCAGGGCGUCGAGUAGGUACUGUAGGAGCUCAGUCCCGUGCGUAACUCCCUCCGUUUCCAUGAGCCCAGCGAUGCUCGAGCUUCCGCCGCCGCCAAGCUCGUCGCCGGUGCCCUCUCCGGCCAGUUCGUCCUCGGCUAAAUGCAAAAAUGGACCUACGGGAGACGUGUCGUUCUUCUGGUGCACUCCGCGCAGAGUUUGGCCGCCUGUGCCGCGUUUCCGAGCCUCUCCGCCGUCCUGGAGGUCGCCGGAGGCUCACCGCCGGCGAGAACGACCUCGGCGCCGGUAGAUCUGACCCCCCCCUGAGUCUAUGACAGGUGGGGCCAACCUCUGGUUAAUUAGUAAUAAUAAAAUUAAAAUUAACUUAAUUAAAUUAACCUAAGAAGUCACUGACAGGUGGGUCCUACCCUGCUCAUUAACUAAUUAACUUAAAUUUAAACUAAAAACGGGCAUGGGUCACUGACCAGUGGGUCCCACUAGUCAGGUUUGACUUUCAACGGCCAGUUGGACCUGCUGAUGUCAUGCUAAUGCAAUAAAGCUUUUUCUGUUUAAAAAUAAUUCCAGAAUAAGUUCAAAACUUGGGAAAUUCAUAAAAGUUUGAAUAUAACUCCAAAUUGGACAAAUAAUAUAUGAAAAAUGAUCAGAAAAAUCCAAGGAAUCUUAAUAUGUCAUUUUCAAACAUGUUUGAAAAUGUUAACUUCACCAAACAUGCAAAAUGGUGAAUAGGUUAAAUUGGAUAAAUGCUUUGGAGUUGGAAUUUGAAAUUCAUUUGAAUUCCACUUAAAAUGCCAUGACCAAACAAUGCUCAACAACAACCAACAACUCAACAUAUCAUUCCCAUGCAUGUUAAAACAAGAUGACCUGAGCAUCAGGUCGAAUCAAUUAAAAGGGUAUUCAAAAAUACCUGGUUUGAAGCGAUAUUUGAAUCUUGAUUCAAAUCAACUUCAACUUAAUAAAUGGUACCUACAUUAGCCUACCACCUUUCAUCUUCAUGCCAUGCUCAUGCAUCAUCUUGUUGCAUAUGAUUGAUAUUGAUUGAUGUCAUUUCUAUCGAUAGGCUCUGCUCCUCCGGAUUCUAUCGAAUAUCUGACUGAUGGAUAUUGUACCUCUGUUGAGCAACAAGGCAAGCAACCAUUUUGAUCAUCCCGAUAAAUCCCAUGUUCUCGCUCCUGCACUUACUUAAUGCAUUAGGAUCAAAUGCUUCAAAUGCUUUUGCCACGUUAGUUGAAGCCACUUCCUUUGCAUGACCUAUCUUUGUCGCAGUAAAUAGUUGAACCUUGCAACCUAGCAUACCUGGUAGAUGCUUGAGCCAUGAUGUGCCUUAUCCUGCUAUGCAUGCUAUGCUUAGAGUUUUGUAUGGUCUGUCAUCUGGGUGAUGAACAGAAUUGUGAGAAUGCGUUCAGUAAGUAAAGGUUGUGUGUUAAACCUGAUUUGGUAAAGGUACCAGUGAAAGGCUAUGUAGGAGUACAGGGCGGGUUGUUUCAUUGGAACCGUCCUUAGGAACUGAGUUCCGUGUAUGUAAUCCAAGACGAGAUACUAGCACAAGCUGGGCCCUGAAAUAUGACCCCGCUCGACUUAUUAACCGCUUAGUACUCGGUCCAGGAGUUGCAAGUAGUUUUUGGUGUUUAUAGUCAUGCUGGAGGCCGUGCAUAGCGCUGACCUGAGAGGUGGGCUGUGAUGCGGUAGGCAGUGGCACGGUGUACCAAGUGGAACCUGGAUGGUGGGCUUGGGAACCCUGCGCACAUCGUUUGGGGCCGUGGCAGAAACCUCGGCCGGACUUCCGUGCGGGUUACCCUCAGAUAGGAGAUAGACCUGGACUAAGUAUUAGCGUGGUUAACGGUCGUGGCCGACUCCCUCGCUGGGCUUCCGCUUGAAGGUUGCUGAGGUGCAUGACGUGCACAUGGCGAUAAGUGGCGAGAGCGUGUGUGAAGAAGUACACCCCUGCAGGGUUAUGAUCUAUUCGAAUAGCCACGUCCGCAGAUCUGUACUACUUAGAAGCAUAUGUUGUUCAUGGAUAACUUUAGUGGCUACUCAUAAAAUUGUCAAGAUAAGCGUGAGUGUCAUGGACGACAUUUCAGUAUGGAGACGGAAUGAUUCCACGAUGGAGUAUUGUUGUGGUGUUAGUGGACUCGUGUGCGAGAAAUCAAGUUGUCAAAAUUAUUUAAAAAUGCAAGUUGUCUAGCCACGAGUCAAAUGCUGGCUUUCUGCAUGAAACCCCACAAUUCCUUAUUGAUACAUUGCAUGAGUAGAUAGCUUAUCCUAAAGUCUUGCUGAGUACUUUUGUACUCAUGUUUGCUUAAUAAAUUGUCGCAAAGGUUGUUAAUGACCCUAAUGGAGGGUUCUACCUAGACAUCGACGACGACGAGUAGCUGGUAUCCCAGCUACGAUCUGGCCCUAGGAUGGGUCUGUAGAUAGUCAGGCCAUGUGCCUUUGUCAUUCCUUCUGUCUGUAAUCAGACAGCUUUACUCUUCCGCUGGUUUGUAAGAAUUGUAUGUAUGACUUGUGAUGAUGGGUCGUGAGACCCCUACCUUGUAAUAUUAUGUGUGUGGCUCUUCCGAGCCUUCUAAAUAAAGUUUGUAUGUUUAUGGUUAUGUUGUGAUGCCAUCGAUGUAUCUAUACAUAUCGGUAUGCCAUGCGUACGUGUGUUGUACUUGACAUGUAUGGGGUUCGAUUACCUAGCCGUAGGCUUUAGUAGGAUUCCUUACAGAGAAAUGCCCCUUUGUGAUCCAACGAGCCAUGGUAGUUCGCUACUGCUCCCGACACAUUGGUUGACCGGCAUGUGUCCUUCUUAGCUGUUGUGUGUGUCCCCGUUGGGGAAAUGUCACGCGAUAUAAUGGAGUCCUCGUAGCUUGCUACGACUCGUCUACACUCGCUGGUGACCGACACCUGCUUUGCUGGGUCAUGUAUGCCUGUCCCUCUGCGGAACUUCCACUUUGGUUUAUGACUACACAUGUCAAUACGAGUUCUUUGUCAUUGGAUUGCUAGCGACACAAUUGCAUACGCGAGUCAAAAGGCGUAAACGGUCCCGGCUAAGGUAAGGCUGCAACCGUCGGGAUAUCCGUGCGUGAGACCGCAAAGAGAUGCGAUGUGUUACAGGCUGGAUUCCUAUGGCCUAGGAUCGGGGUCCCGACAGCGUGCCAAUUACGUACAUGUGCCGGAAGCUGUAUACUUUACGUCUCAAUGAAACUCUUCAUAAGUUUCGCUCCUCUUCCUGUUUUUUGAGUUUAUAUAAACCAUUGCAAGAACCAUGAAUGUAAGAUAUCCACGUUCCUUUAUGAAUCUGUAGGUAGGUUGCAACUUCACUUGAAUCUGACAAGUUACUGGGUGCGUGAGCCAACCACAUAUACAUGUGCCAGUAGCUGGAUACUUUACAAAGACUUCAUAGAUUUAUCUCCUCAUCCUGGUUUGGUACUUUAUAUAAACCAUUGCAAGAACCGUGAAUGUAAAAUGUCCAGGUUCCUUUUAUGCACUUCUUGAUAUGUUGAGAUGGUGGAAUGAAUAGCUAAUUUGCCCCACAGAUGAAUGGUAUCAUAGGGUACUAAUUAUUAGGAUUGGGAGGUAUUAGGACAACCAUUUCUAGCAGGACUGGACUACCAUGUUGCUUCAUAUCAAAAUCAACAUAAAUAUUAGGUAGAUCGUUCAACAUCAAUGUUACCAAGAUCCCACACGUGUCAUUGCUGUCAAUCUUCGCUACCCAUUGCCAGGAUCGGACCUCCUUGAGCUGGAGCAAGAGGGCAAACAACUGCCCUCUCGGCGAUGUCUUGGUGUGUUCUGUGCAACUGUGCAUUGCGGUUUGGUUUCUCAAGGCAACACGGUUCAAUCAAGGUUUUGGUUUUCGGUUUCUGUAUUUUUCGUACAAUUGGAGUUCUCUUCUUGGAGAAAUUGUUGAUAGGUGUAAUUCCUUCUCCUAGUUUUCCAUGUAAUAAUGCUAACUCAUAGGCAGUAUCAAGGUCUUUUGACUUCUAGAAAGCUACAACUAUUCAAACUCCAGGUUUCAGACCAUCCAUGAAAUGCAAUGACUGAACCUGCCUUCAUAACAAGAUUUGCACUAACAAUGUGCAUGGGUGGGACAACUGACAACAAGGGGUUGGGUUGGUCCUUUUUUCAUCAUCUAUUACUGUACUAAUUAGAGACUCACAAAAAACUACCACGUUAAUCAGAAAAUAUGAGCUGUUAAUUUGGUGGGGCCACAGUUAUUACAGUUAGAUGAAAAUCUUUCUCGGCCAUGUUAAGUUUUUUUAUAGACACAAACCUUACGUGAAUAGAUUGGAUCGUAGCUCACGUCUAAUGUCAUAUUAUUCCACCAGCUAUCUGCAAGAGUAAUUUUUCCAUCGUCCAUAAUUAUUUCUCUCUCCUCCUCUAUGGAUUAUGCAUCUGGUCAUGAGAGUCUCAGCAAGGUACGUCUCAUAACAAGCAAUAUGCACCCAAAAAACAUUAUACUACUAGCUAUAGGCAGCCUGUAGAUCGGUUACAGAAAAAGACUGCGUAGUCCAGGCUGAGACGAGGCUCCAUUGGCCGGCAGCAACUUUUUGUGUUACAUCCGCGGCAUCCUUUUAGCUGAUCAAGAUGCGCCAAAGGCCUCUACACUUGGCACGUAUGAUUUAUCAAGUCCGUAUUAAGCAAGGCCGAGGUGCAUGGUCCGGGCUGAGACGAGGCUUUGUUGUUGUGCUGAGGCGUGCCUUGCCACGCAUCAAUGGUGAGAACUGUCCCGCGGAAACUUUCUCUUUUACAUAUGAUGCAUGGAUGUAGCUAGCUGAUCUAGAUGCGCCAAAGGCCCCUACAUUCGAUAGGUUUGAUCCUACCCGUCCGUAUUAAGCAAGACCGAGGAUUGAUUAUGACUUCGAGCGUGCUUCAUAUUUUGGUAGUGCAAAGUCAUGACUUCAUCCUUAUUUACUGAAUUUUGCAUGAAGAAUACAUAUAUUUGGUGACGAUGAGAUGCUUUGCUUUUGUGAGUUCAUAUCAUUGGUCGCAUCCAUAGGAUUAUGUAAUACUUUGACACAAGGUUUUAUAAUUCAUAACUGUGUACUUUUAUCAUAAAUGAGAGAAAAACACAUAUUAAAAAUUAUUAAUUGCUGGAACUCCAUACUAAUAAUACUACAAAGAUAAUUCAUCAGGAAAGAUCUCACAUGCGUGCUAGUAUUGAUUAUGACUUCGGGCCUGCUUCAUAUUUUGGUAGUGCAAAGUCAUGACUUCAUCCUUAUUUACUGAAUUUUCCAUGAAGCAUACAUAUAGUUGGUGACGAUGAGAUACUUUGCUUUUGUGAAUUCAUAUGAUUGGUUGCAUCCAUAGGAUUAUGUAAUACUUUGACACAAGGUUUUAUAAUUCAUACCUCUCUACUUAUAUCAUAAAUAAGAGAAAAAAUACAUAUUAAAAAUUAUUCAUUACUGGAACUCCAUACUAAUAAUACUACAAAGAUAAUUCAUCAGGAAAGAUCUCAAAUGCACACACGCACACACCCAUUAUCUAUCAUGUACCAAUACACACAUGUCUCUUGCUAACGGCAAAUAUCUAGAAUCUUGAACCUCCUAUUUUUGGGUGAAUCUGAUGAUUGAUAAAAAUAAAUAAAUACAUGGCAUAAAGUAAUGUAGUUUAAUGGAAACAACCUAAGAAUAAAGAAAAAGGACUCUCUUUUGAUGUAAUAUAUAUGGUAUGGUGAAGUGAACAUAGCGGCAUGGAUGCGCAGCAGCGGCCCCGACCGAAUUCCAUUAGCACGUGUGAUUGUUGCAAGUCAUGCAUGCAUAUGCAUAUAAGAAUGAGAAAUAAUCAACAAGAAAGUCUUCUUGACGGGUCAGUAUUUUCUAUUUUGCACCCACGGUUCUAACAUACCUUAUUGUUUUACACUUCUACUAAUGUAAAUGCUCUCAUAUCACACUCCUUUCCUCCCCAUAAGAAGCGUAUUCCAUAUUAUUCAUGAGGCCGAGAACAUGCUGACAUAAGUCGCGAAGAAGAAUAGAAGAUGGAUUAUGUGUUUGGUUGUCUUCACAUGGCUGAUAUGUUUCUGUCAUGUGGUGAUAAUUUAUAGGAUGGAAUACAAAGUUAUUUACAAGACUUAUAUUGUGCAAAUAUUACUAUCAGGAUUCAACUAUAUUGGAUGUAUAACCUAUUGUAUAAAUAGGAAAAGUUAUGGGGCCCAAGUCAUUGAUUUCAAAUACAUAUUAUUCACUAACACAAAAGGUGGUAAAGUUUUGCACUAUCAAAAUAGCAUAUAUAUUUAGUUCAUGUAUGGCAAUUUUCUUCAACUUUUGAGCAUCUCUAUUAUGUAUUACCAUAUUUUAUAUUCUCCACCUGAGGCUAUUAGCAAAUUGUAUGGCUUUGUAGCCUUUCUCGAUAAGUAAGAGUGUCGAACCCAACGAGGAGCUAAAGGUAGGACAAAUAUUCCCUCAAGUUCUAUCGACCACCGAUACAACUCUACGCACACUUUACGUUCGCUUAAUCUAGAACAAGUAUGAAACUAGAAGUACUUCGAUGGAGUUAUAGGAUAGGUUUGCAAGAAAAGAAAGAACACAUAAAUAAAAACUAGGGGAUGGUAAGAAAAAGAAACAAUUACGUUAGUUUGACGAGUGGGGAAAAGUGAUGGUAGGAGUUGCGGAAUUGUCCCUAAGCAAUUGACUAUGUUACUAGACUGAUAGCAAGUUUUAUGUGGGAGAGGCCACUGCUAGCAUGUCAUCCCUUACUUGGAAUUCUAUGCACUUAUGAUUGGAAAUAUUAGCAAGCAUCCGCAACUACUAACGUUCAUUAAGAUAAAAUCCAACCAUAGCAAUAAGAUAUUUUGGUCCCCCUUCAAUCCCGUAUGCAUAAAUUUCUAUGCUAGGCUGAAGCUUUUUUCACCAUUGCCCUCCAAUACAUAGUCCUAUCAACAUACUACUAACCCUAUGGUGUGAUCCUUGCGCAUGCUCAUGUGAUGGGCACCAAAGGACAACAACAUAACCACAAGCAAAUUAAACCAAUCAUAGCAAUUCAUCAAUCACCGAUAGGACAACACAUCAUUGGAUGGCAACAUAUCAUUGGAUAAUAAUAUGAAAUAUAAAGCACCAUGUUCAAGUAGAGGGUACAGCGGGUUGCGGGAGAGUGGACCGCUGAAUAUAGAUGGGGGAAGGUGAUGGAGGUGUUGGUGAAGAUGACGGAGGUGUUGGUGUAGAUCGCCGUCACACGAUGAUGUCUCGGGCGACGUUCCGGUGCCGCCGAGAGAGAGGGGGAGAGAGCCCCCUUCUUCUUCUUCUUCUUCCUUGACCUCCUCCCAAGAUGGGAGAAGGGUUUCCCCUCUGGUCCAUGGUCUCCAUGGCGGCAGAGGGGCGAGAUACCCUCCGAGAUUUGAUCUCUCUCUCUCUGUGUGUCCUUCUCUUUCUGCGCUCCCAGACUCUGGCCUUUCACCGUUUAUUAAAUUCCCGAAGAUCUGUAACUUCGAUUGGGCUGAAAUUUUAACACAAUUUUCUACCGGAUAUUAUCUUUCUUGCGGUGAAAGAAGAUCACCAACUGCCUUAGGGAUUGGUCACAAGCCUGUCAGCCGCGGCCUAGGGGGGUCGCGCCUCCUACGCUUGUGACCUACUCGGGCAUCGUUUCGCGUAGAUUCUUCUUCCCAAAAAUCAUAAAUAUUCCAAAAAAAAUCCCCUAGGUUUUUUAUUGCGUUUGGACUUCGUUUGGUAUGGAUAAUCUGCGAAACAAAAAACAUGCAACAAACAGGAACUGACACUAGGCACUGGAUCAAUAUGUUAGUCCCAAAAAUAGUAUAAAAAGUUGCCAAAAGUAUAUGAAAGUUGUAGAAUAUUGGCAUGAAACAAUCAAAAAUUAUAGAUAGGACGGAGACGUAUCAGCAUCCCCAAGCUUAAUUCUUGCUCGUCCUCGAGUAGGUAAAUGAUAAAAAAAGAUAAUAUUUGAUGUGGAAUGCUACCUAGCAUAAUCUUGAUCAUAUAAUCUAAUCAUGGCAUGAAUACUAAAACAAGAAUUAUUCGAAGAAAUAUUCUAUCAUUUGACAUAAAACAAUAAUAUUUCAAGCAUACUAACAAAGCAAUCAUGUAAUCUCAAAAUAUCAUGGCCAAAGAAGGUUAUCCCUACAAAAUCNNNNNNNNNNNNNNNNNNNNNNNNNNNNNNNNNNNNNNNNNNNNNNNNNNNNNNNNNNNNNNNNNNNNNNNNNNNNNNNNNNNNNNNNNNNNNNNNNNNNNNNNNNNNNNNNNNNNNNNNNNNNNNNNNNNNNNNNNNNNNNNNNNNNNNNNNNNNNNNNNNNNNNNNNNCUAUGCUCCAUCUUCCCCACACAACGUAUUUAAAUCAUGCACAACCCCGGUUUUAGCCAAGCAAUUGUUUCAUACUUUAUUGUUCUCAAACUUUUCAACUUUCACGCAAUAUAUGAGCGUGAGCCAUGGACAUAACACUAUAGGUGAAUAGAAUAUGGUGGUUGUGGAGAAGACAAAAAGGAGGAGAUAGUCUCAGAUCAACUAAGCAUAUCAACGAGCUUUGGAGAUUCCCAUCAAUAGAUAUCAAUGUGAGUGAGUAGGGAUUGCCAUGCAACAGAUGCACAAGAGCUAUAAGUGUAUGAAAUCUCAAAAAGAAACUAGUGGGUGUGCAUCCAACUCGCUUGCUCACGAAGACCUAGGGCAAUUUGAGGAAGCCCAUCAUUGAAAUACACAAGCCAAGUUCUAUAAUGAAAAUUUCCCACUAGUAUAUGAAAGUGAGAACAUAGCAGACUCUCUAUCAUGAAGAUCAUGGUACUACUUUGAAGCACAAGUGUGGUAAAGGAUAGUAGCAUUGUCCCUUCUCUCUUUUCUCUCAUUUUUAUUACUAUUAUUAUUAUUAUUUCCCUUUUUUGGGUGGGCUUAUUUGGCCUCUUUUUUUUUAUUUGGGCUUCAUUGGCCUCUUUUAUUACUUCCUCACAUGGGACAAUGUUGUAAUAAUGAUGAUCAUCACACUUUUAUUUACUUACAACUCGACUAUUAGAACAAAAUAUGACUCUAUAUGAAUGCCUUCGACGGUGUACCGGGAUGUGAAAUGAUCUAGCGUAGCAAUGACAUCAAAAAAACGGACAAGCCAUGAAAACAUCAUGCUAGCUAUCUUACGAUCAUGCAAACCAAUAUGACAAUGAUGGUGCGUGUCAUAAUAAACGGAACAAUGGAAGUUGCAUGGCAAUAUAUCUCGGAAUGGCUAUGAAAAUGCCAUAAUAGGUAGGUAUGGUGGCUGUUUUGAGCAAGGGUAUAUGGUGGGUGUAAUGCACUGGCGAAAGUUGCGCGGUACUAGAGAGGCUAGCAAUGGUGGAAGGGUGAAAGUGGGUACAAUCCAUGGACUCAACAUUAAUCAUAAAGAACUCACAUACAUAUUGCAAAAGUCUAUUAGUCAUCGAAACAAGGUACUACACGCAUGCUCCUAGGGGAAGGGUUGGUAGGAGUUAACCAUCGAGUGAUCCCAACCUCCACACAAAGGAAGACAAUCAAUAAAUAAAUCAUGCUCCGACUUCGUCACAUAACGGUUCACCAUACGUGCAUGCUACGGGAAUCACAAACCUUAACAGAAGUAUUUCUAUGAAUACAUAAUUACUCACUAGCAUGACUCUAAUAUCACAUCUUCAUGUCGCAAAACUAUUGCAAGGAAUCGAACAUAUCAUAUUCAGUGAUCUACAAAUUUUAUGUAGGAUUUUAUGACUAACCAUGCGAAUGACCAACUCCUGUUAACUCUCUAAAUAGGUAUAAGUGAAGCAUGAGAGUUUAAUUCUUCCUACAAAACAUAUGCCCCGCUCUAACAAAAAUAAGUGAAGCAAAAGAGCAUUCUACAAAUGGCGGUUUUCUAUGUGUAGGGAAACAGGCAAUCCAAACUUCAAAUGAUAUAAGUGAAGCACAUGAAGCAUUCUAUAAAGCCAUACUCAAAAUAUAUAAGUGAAGUGCAAAGAGCAUUCUAUAAAUCAACCAAGGACUAUCUCAUACCAGCAUGGUGCAUAAAAUAAAAAGGAAAAAUAAACACAAAAGACGCUCCAAGCAUUUGCACAUAUCAUGUGACGAAUAAAAAUAUAGCUCCGAGUAAAAUUACCGAUACAUUGUAGACGAAAGAGGGGAUGCCUUGCGGGGCAUCCCCAAGAUUAGACGCUUGUGUCUUCCUUGAAUAUUACCUUGGGAUGCCUUGGGCAUCCCCAAGCUUAGGCUCUUGCCUCUCCUUAUUCCUUCAUCCAUCGUGGUCUCACCCAAAACUUGAAAACUUCAAUCACACAAAACUCAACAAAACCUUCGUGAGAUCCGUUAGUAUAAUAAAGUAAAUCACCACUUUAAGUACUGUUGUGAACUCAUUCCAAAUUCGUAUUAGCAUUAUAUCUACUGUAAUCCAACUUUACCAUGGUUAAUACCCCCAUAGAUUCAUCAAAAUAAGAGAACAAUGCAUAGAAAACAGAAUCUUUCAAAAACAGAAUAGUCUGUAGUAAUCUGAACUUAUACCAUACUUCUGAUACUACAAAAAUUCUGAAACAAUUAUUAUAAUUAAGUAAAUUUUUAUAUCAACCAGAAGCAAAAAAAAUCAACUCAAUAGCACUCUUUGUAUAGAAAUAAGAAAUGAUUUCGUGUGUGCUAAGUUUCUGUUUUUUUCAGCACGAUCAAACAACUAUCACCCAAACUAAUCAUAAAGGCUUUACUUGGCACAUUAUUUUUAUAAUACAAUGGAAUUGUACAAGGGGAUAAUAUUUUUGCGAGAAACUUCCAUGAAAAAUUCUACAUUGUUUCCAUGAGCAUGAACACAAGUGUUCAAGGUCGACCCUCACUUCCGCAAUGCAUCACCUUUCAAUCGCUUCUCUUUUGGAAAGAGUUUUAAGUUCCCCUCUAUAUUUUUUUGUUUUUAAACUAUAUAAAAGCACUCAACAGAAAUAAAUGACUCUCUAAAACUUCUGGGUUGUCUCCCAGGCAACGCUUUCUUUAGAGCCGUUAAGCUAGGCAUAAAGUGCUCAAGUAAUGGAUCCACCCGGAUCCCAAGGUAUAUCAAAGCCAAUUUUAAUUAACAAUUAUUUGUAAUUUAGUAGUGAGCACAAGGUAACAUAUAUCAUGCAAUGACGAAGUCUAACUCUCUUCCUAUGCAUUGGCAUGUCAUAGAAGAACAAUUCAUGCACAUCAAGUAAAGGCCAAUACAUAGCAUAAGCAGUUUCUUGCAAUUUAUUGUAUUGGAAACAUAGAGAGGUGGAGAUGUAGUUCCUCUCUCAUAAUAAUUGCAAGUAGGAGCAGCAAGCACAUGCAUAUUAUAUUCAUCAAAAUCAUCAUGUGUACUAGUUGAAGGCAACCCAUCUAUGUAAUCCCUAAUAAGAGCAAACUUCUCCGAUAUAGUGUAGUUGGGAGAGUUCAAAAAGAUAAUAGGACUAUCAUAAGUGGGUGCGAUAGCAACAAUUUCAUGUUUAACAUAAGGAACUAUAGCAAGUUCAUCUUCAUAAGCAUCAUUCAUAUUGGCAUCAUGGCCACAAGCAUAGCAAGCAUCAAGUUCAUCCAAAAGGGAUAUUUCAAACGAAUCCAAGGGAUCAUAGCAAUAACAUUCAUCCUUUGGUAAGAACGAUAUUUGUGUUGGAUUUGAGGGGUGCCGGUCAGCUCGGACAUUUGAGACCCGUUUCGGGAGUCCGUCUGGAUCGAUUUUUCGUGACCGGGCGUGACCGGACGGCUUACCCAGCCGUAUGAGAUGGAUAUAAUAGAUCAGUUGAAGAUGCUCUAAGGCGAAGCAUCCGUUGUCUACCACAUAAUUAAGAUUGGUGCGCCCGGCUUGGGCAUAAACAUGGGAAAUAUUUUCUUGCAUAUAUAAAUUGUAAUACAUUGAUGUUUAGGUGAUAAUGGGUUACUGCUGCCGAAUCUGACAUGCCUCCUUUUCUUGGGAAGAAUAGUUAUUUCAUGAAUAUUAUUUUGGCAACAAUCAAGGUUAUCCAUGUGGAUUUUGUUAAACAACUCCAUCAGAUUGGCUUUGAUCGUUCAUAGAAACCUUAGUAGAAUUCUGCCUGGAGAAAAUGGUGCAUGCUACAGUGGUUGUCGCGGCCUCCACCCAUCGCUGGUGGAUAAAAACAUCAAUCGGGGCAUAAAAAGUAGCUUAUUGGGUCAUCACGUUUCGAAAUUUCAAGGUCUACCGCAGUGUAUUAAACAAUGUCGGCCUUAUGCAGGUGCUAAUUUUGGAAUCUUUGCACACAUCCGCAGGAACCGCCCUCAGAUUGAAUGUCCAUGAUAUGGGUACCACGUAACCCAUCCUACAAAAAACUAAGGGCGGAAACCAGUGGUAGAAGCAUAGUUUUAAAUAGCUCGUUAUAGCCCUGUUAUAGCCUUGCUAUAGCCUUUUCAACAGGUUGUCGCUAAAUGAUAUCAUGUAUAAAUGUGCCCCUAUAGCCUGCUAUAGCUCUGGUAUAGCAGAUUUUAAGGCGUGCCACUAUUUUUCAUAGCCCUCAAGAGGAGAGGGGUCGUUGUGUAAGUCAAAUCUUCGCUCCGGUGGUGGCUGGGUAAACAAUUCGCCCGCCGAGCCGUAGUUUUUCUCAUUCAAAGCAUCUUUUUCUAGACUUACAUUUAGACAAUAAAUGAUGGAGGACAACUGAAACCUAUAUGAUGAAUAUGCAACAUUACUUCAAUCUUGAUAAGACACUGUCAUAGAUAAAUACCCACAUCAAUUAAUUGUACACAUACUAGAGUAGGUGACACAAUCAAAUAUGCGAAUAAUUAAUUGUAUACUUCACCUCUCAACUAAAACACUUUGUAGGUUUCUCUCCAUUUCUUGGUAUCAACGACUAUAUAAACCAUUGCAAGAAUAAGAGCUAUAAAAAUGAGCUACAACAUACUCCGUAUCUAAGUACUCAUAUUGCCCUUCUAGCUACGUUGAGAUAAUGUAAAGAGUAGCUAAUUUGCACUAGUGCAGAAGUCCAAAGGAUACGAAUAUGUGGGAUUGAGAGCCAUUAGGAUUGCCAGUCCUAGUAACAUUGACAAGAUUCGUCGCUUCAUCUGGAAAGACCACACUUCUAGUGGAAAACAAGGUGCAGGCGGGUUGGCUGGAGGAGCUUUGGUUGAACUGAUCUCCACGGACCCUGCACCUCGGCGUGGCUGUGCAAGAGGAGGAACCCAGUGAUGGCUUUAAACUGCGCUAGACCAUCUCCCAUGGCUCACCAGUCAUCUCAAGCCACCGUCGCCUAUUGGCCUUGCCUUGGCCUUGGCCAAGGAGGAAGAAGACUGACGCAGACUGCACACACACGUGAGAAGAACACACAGAGUCUAGUGCACACGCACUUGUGCUUUCCUCUUGUUCUCUCUUGACCAGAAUAAACAACAUGAUUACAGAGCUUGCCAUGACCGUUGCCACUAGGUACGAAAACGAUAUAAGAAAUAGUUCAAGGUUCCAUCAGUCAUGCCAAAAUUUAUCGGCAGUCGGCUGAUCAGCGAUGACGAUAUUAUCGGUACAUCCACAAGCGGCUAUCAUUAGCCGUCUAUAAACAAGAAAAAAGUCAUUUUCUUCAACUUUGAUUAGUUGUCAAGUGAUGCAUGCAUUUUUUCUUAUAGUUGUGGGUAUAUGAUGAUUUUCUUUGUAAUUUUGGAUAGUUAAAAAAGAUUCAUUGCUCGACAAUCGAUGUUGGUUUGUCUUCCCAGGACUGCAGCUUAAGCUCUACCUGGUCAACACUUUACUGAGCGACAUUGGCCCACUAUUAGGUGAUGCUAUUGAUAGUAGUUCGCGAAAGAUUUGG